UCUCUCUCUCCCUCCUCUCUCCCUCUCCCUCUCCCUCCCCCUCCCUCUCUCCCCUUCUCUCCCUCUCUCAUCACUUGAGUUAUGACAUUUGUCCUUAACAUAUUCUCAUAUAAUGUAAACAUGUGGAUCAAAUAUUGUCUUAGUAACCACAAAAUAUCCUUUAUACAAGAAAGAGCUGAUUGUUUGCCACCAAUAAUAUCAUGUGUUGUCUGUCAUCUGUUGUUUCUAUAUGCUCUUUUGUUUUGGACCAAAUAUUUCUUAGAUUUGAUGGUACUCUAUCAGGAUCUUUUAUCAGUAUUCACAUUUGUACCAUUUUGGCUGUUUCAGUAUUUGGGGAUUUCUAUUUUCAAAUUCUUUCCGAUUGUUAAUUUACAGAGUUUUCUUUGACAAGAAUACAUAUAUACUUGGGAUCAUUUAUCGGCCUUUAGGGUUUUGUUUCAUAUUUUGAACAGCUCAUAAGUCAUAAGAUUUGAUCGUGUAAGCCAGCUUUGCUACCAGAUAUAUCUGUAUUUCUUAUGUAUGGUCCUUAUUAACCUGCAGGGUCCAUUGUUUUAAGAAGCGCUUUACUGGGAUUGCUCGUUGAAAUAAAAAGAGGAAAAUUGUAUAUGUAAAAUCUGUAUUUUUGUGCGCACUGCAUGCGCUUGUGAUUGUAAAGCUGGACGAAGGAUUCUAAUAAAACUGUGAUCUGUUUUGUAUAAUUAACGAUACGAAAGUACACGACACAUUAGUGAUGUAUUGGAUUUCUUUUCUGGUGUGAUGUGUGUGUACAUUUAGUCAUUUACUGCUAUAUACUUAGCACCAUCUUCGAUUAUUAGUUGUCUAUCAGAUUGCAAGGGUUAAUGUUGGUGAAGUAUAUUGCACAACAAUGAAUGUAAUUUAUAUAUAUAUAUAUAUAACAAGAAGAUUAAUCGAUUAAUAAAACAAAAUACAAACUCGUAAUUGAUUCAGGCGAGAAUAUUUUGUUUGUAAGAACAAUUAUUCUGCAUUGAAUAAUAGUAUUUUUAAUAUUCUCGCGCUAAAAACUGUUCUCCAAUAAAAGAAGAAUCACUUAACUAAGAAAAGACUAUUGAAGAGUAAAUAAUUGCUUAACUUACAGUCUUACACUGUGAUAAGUUACAUCAGUAUCGCUUCAAAUAGAACAACUCAUAGAUAAUCCAUUUACAAACACGGAAGCAAAACAUUGUUGCAUAUAAAUUACAAUUAAAUACAUAUGUAACGGCUGAUACAAUAUUAAAAUUUAUUAUUACGAUUUAAUAACAUGAACAACAUAAUAUAAACCAGCGGUUUAUUUUAGUUCCAACUGGUCCUCAGAGAAUAAGUUUCGACUCAUUACAGUUCACAAACUCUUGUGUGGUCCAUCAGAGUUGUCAACACUGAUAGCUUUGGUGAUACUUGAAUUUUGACUCUUAUAUAUCUAUUUGAAUAUAUGUUGAGUUAAUAAUUAUUUUAAUUGAUCAUUUAAUAUAAUUUACUCUCUAGAUUUACUUGGUGUUUUCGUGUUUACUCAAUAAUCAGUCUUGUCACUUGCUUUUCCAAAUUUCAAGUUAUGAUAGAUUGAUUGAUUAUCUUUUUAUUUUAUCAAUUUUGUUCAUGCUUGAUUUUUUAUAUAACUAGUCAGUCUUUAAUCUUUUUGUAUCUUCUGUGAUUUUGUAUAAAUGAAAUUGUUAAUCGGGAUUUCCCAAGAACUAGAGUUAGAAAGAUACUCUCUUACACAUAUACCGUUAUUUGAUCCCAGGAAGUCCUUGCUAAUUAAAAUGAUAAUUUAAGCUUUUUUGUUAGUUCUAAAUUAUUGUAUUGUGAUAGUCUAAUUUGAUAUUCUGGAAUUACUUUAAAUUACGAGGAGAAUCAUCAAAUUACAGUUAUUAGUUGUUGCCAGGGUUAAAUAUUCUGAUUUUUCUAAUAUUUUUGUCGUAUUGUAGAUUUGGUUAGGGUUUCGUGUAAGCGAAACUAUAUGGAUAUGCUUCAACAUUUUGUGAAAAAUAUAAGAAUAAAAAAAUCUCUUUACCUCGACCGGAAGAUACACGAAUAAUGGUCAAAUCAUAGAAUAUACUUCGUGUUUUUUGAUGUGGCCACCAAUAAUGAAAAUAAAUAUUUGAGCCCCGACUGGAUCUAGCUACACACAACGCUAGAAACAGAUUCAUUUACAGUGAGAUGAAACCAAACACAUUAUUUAAAAAACGCCGCGAGAACCUUUUGCAUAACAAAACCUCCGACACAACUUAAUUACAAAUUGCCGAUAUUCACAAUUGAAAUUCCUAAAGAUUCUUAAAAUAUUAAUCGAUGCAUACUAAUGCCAAAACCCAGAGAUAGUUAAUUAUUCACGCAUCACCUCCUUAUCCCGACACAAAUACAUAAACUAGUAUAAUAUGUCUCAGCGUCUUGGAGUGUUACUGCGACCUUUGUUUUCUAGUUUAACUGCAGAUUCUAUGUGUAUACAUGUACUACGAAACACUGUUUAUUGUGCUAUUCACCACACAUUGAUAAACACACACAUUUACAUUUACACUUUUAAUAUAUGAGAGGAUCAUUUUGCAGUUGUGCACUUUUAAUAAGGUCAUGUUCAGUAGCUGUAACUUGUAAGCUGGACAGAGAUUGUACUUGAUAUAUAGCUGUAAGCCUAUAACUUGAAGUAAUUACAGUGAUACAGUAGUAUUUGGUUCCCAAAUGGCAAGUUCACACAAAUACUCUUCGUUCGUAGGCCGAAGAUAAUAUUCUUUUGAGUGAUCUGUACGCAAAAGCUACAUCCAUGCUGCCAUGCAAAAGAUACUUAAUCAUCAUUAUCCUCUUAUAAUUGAACUGGUCAAAAUCUUAGGAUACAGUAAUCAACUGCGUUAAGCACAUCGUGACAGUAGAACUGGUGGUUAACAGAAAUCUGAACCUCACACGCAUGCGUUGGUAUUUGGAUCAACCAUUUUGUGGUAUGGAAUGAGAACCUCAUUCCCGCCCGUAGGUAAAUCAUUCCCAUACUCUUCAUUCACGUACCCCUCACUCUGAAAUUUUCACACAAAGCAGCUAGUGAACGUAUACUAGGUUCUUUUGUCCGUUCUGUCUGUUGAAAAGUUUGUUACUAAUUAGGAUUCCAAAAUUUAUUUUAUCGUGUUUUGUUAAGAAGUAAUUAAGACGGGGAGGAUGAUUUUGAAAAGGAAUGAGUUUGUGCAAGCGUUUUAUAACAAGAUUUGAUAAAAAAAAAAUAUUUUUGGACUUGAGAGAAAGGCAUUCAUUUUCAAAAGGGGAUUUGAGUUCUCAAAUGUGUUAGAAAUGGGGUUAUAAAAUAUAAAAUUGGCGAACUAGCAAUAGAACUUACAAAUAAGACUCGAAAAUACUGUCUCAAUAAAAUAAUACAUUAACUUUUUUUUUUAAGGAAAUAUAAUACUACCUCUAUUUUUUAUAUGACGUUUUGACUUUUGGCACACACUUUUAAGUGCUUUGACCGGGUAGUUAAAAAUAUUAUUUUUUAAAAUUUCUUUUCCUGAAUAAUAAUAAAUAAUCAAAAUUUUUAUUUUGAAAAAAAAAAUUCAAAAAAGUAUAUUUUUAACUACCCGGUCAAAACACUUAUGACAAAAAUCAAAGCGUCAUAUAAAAAAAACAGGCAUCUAACUUAUUUUAUCAAAUGUGCUUCAACUACCAUAUAUAAAACAUCUUGAACUUCCUCGUGAACAAGCUGUAGACGGCCCCCAUGUAUAUCAUACUCCCUCCAUCCCAUUUUAAGUGUCCACUUUGCAAAUUUCACACAUCUUAAGAAACAAUUAAUGUAAUGUUUUUAUCAUUAUCUUCACACACCUAUUCACCUUGUUUUUAUAAAUAUUAAUUAUGUAUAGCACCACUCCUACUAUGUAUUUGACCUUUUUUCAUGUUGGAACUAGUAAGUUGUAUUUAAUAUUAUAUUGAAACUAAUAAAAAGUUGCAUGGGUUAAAGAGUAUGACACAUAUAUUGGGAAUUUUUUUUUGGCAAAAUAGACACUUAAAAUGGGAUGGAGGGAGUAUUACUUUUUGUUGGUAUCGUGUAAUGCCACAACUCUUGUGCCUCUGAAUGAAUUUAGUCCAGUGAAGUUAUUGUACACGGCCCAAUGUACCCGGGACAAACUAUUGUCCAUGGCCCAGUAUACGUCAAAUAUUUCAGUACAUCUUUUAUCCGGACUUAUUUUCAAAAAAUUCUAAAAAUUGGUUGAUUAAUUAGUUUUUUUUUUGGACACAGGUUGAUUAAUUAGUUAAUCGAUCGACUAAUUGGUAACUAGACGAAUUCUGAUGUUAUUUAUGAAAAUCGAUUGAUAUAAAUUUCUCAAGUUGAUAAUUAAUUGCUUAAAAAUCAGAUAAAUUAGUCAAAACUCGGUUAGAAUCUCAAAAUUUGUUAAAAUUUUGGGGAAAAAUUGAAGUUAAUUAUAUAUUAAUAAGAUUAUAAAUAAUAUUAAUUAAAUACCGAUUAAUUGAACGAUUAAUGAUCUGAUUAAUCAUUUCAAUUAAUCAUGGAUUUUUUGAUUAUUCGCUGAUCAUUAUCUGAGCUGAUUCGUUUUUUGCUAAGAAACUCUAAUCAACUAGCUUCUUAACCCGUGCAAAGCACGGGCUGUUUUAAAUUAUUUUUUUGAUAUAGGUUCAUCUCUUUUAAAUUGAGAGAUAAUAAUAAUAAUUAAGCCUGAAAUACGACUAACCGCUCUAACCGUUCUCUUAUUCUUCUCUCCCAAUCUUCAAGAUUUCGUUCAUCUUUUCUUUCGACUUUGUGCGGCACAUGUAAUCACAUGUUUUGGAAAUUUGUGGAGUUUAGUCGCAUUCACUAUGCCAUAUACAUUGCACACUUUUUUCUCGGUGAAUGAGUCACUUGUUUUGAAUCUUGCAAAUUGAUGUUGUUUUAUGAGGGAGUUUCGAAUGUUUAAACAAUUCCUAAUUGAUUUGCUCUCCCGCUCGAGGGCGCUUUCACGGCAUUGUCAUUUGAGAAUUGUUGUGGUGUGUCUGCUAUCAAAUGGUUACGGUGUAGCGGUUGUCAAAGCGACGCAAUCGCCAAGGUUGUCUGAGGGAGUUUCAAUGAAGUCAUUCCGGUGGAAUGCAGUGCGAUCAAGGUGGAAUGCAGUUCUUCAUCGGUGUUAAUGUGCAAAUCAUUGUAAGAUUUCAAGAUUUUGGGUUCCAAUUUGGUUGGCACCCGAUCUCUUCUCCCAAGCUUUCAACUUUGCAAUCCGUGUAAGUAAUGGUUCUUGAUUUCUCCGUUUGUUUUCUUCAAUGGACUUCACCACUUAAAUCGAGAAAUUUUUAAGUAAGUCCCAUGUGAAGAAGGCUAUGACCUAAGGUAUUAUAGUUAUAUUGUAUCACACACAAUUUUAUUUAUUAUGCACUAAGCCGGGGUCUCACGAAAACAACCUCUCUACUUUAAGGUAGAGGCAUGGUGUGCGUAUAUUUUACCCUCUUCAGACCCUGCUCUAAGCGGGAUAUACUGAGCACAUUUGGUUUGGUUUGGUUCUUUUAAAUUGAGAUUAUUUAUAUUAUAAAAGUAAUUCAUAUUGUAUAUUUAUUUAUAUUUUAAGUCAUAUUAUAUUGAUAUCCAUAUGUACACAUAUUCUCACUAUGAUAUUUAUUAAUAUAUAAAUACAAAAAAAUAUACACAGUUUAAAAUUUUAUUAAAUAAUUAAAUUACCACCCACCUAAAAUUAUUGAAAAUUUGAUAAAAGCAAUGAGAUUUUUGCUGAAUCAGAGCCCUUGUCAUAUAGUUAUAUAUUAUAUUUAUACUUAUUCUAAUAUAUAUAUAUAUAUAAUUUUUUUAAUCAUAAUAAUUAAAUAUUCUAAAAACCGGUUGGUUGACUAAUUAAUCGAUAAUCAGAAGGAUUUUUAAUCCGAUUUAGUAAUAUUCGGUUAAAUCGAUGAUUAUUUGGUCAAAACUUGAUCAAUUCGAUGAAAAUCAGGUUGAAUAUUAAAUUUUACAAAAUUUGUGGGGUAAAUUUAAAAAUUUAAAAAUAAUUAUAUAUAAUAUAUAUAAUAUUAAAUUAUUUUCAAAUAAUGAUCAUGUUAAUAUUUAUACUGAGUAGGGGUAGAUUAGUCUCUUUGAAUUAAAUUACUCAUUAUUGUUGUGUUAGAUAUAUAAUAGAAUUUGACAAAAUUCGGUUAAAAUCGAUGGCUAAUUGACAAAAAUUGGAUUAAUUGGUUGAAAAUCAGGCCGAAUAUUAGAAUUUACAAAAUUAUUUAUUUAUUAUUAAAACAUAAAUAUAAAUAUAUAAUACAUAUAUAUAUUGGAGUUUUAAAUAUGAAGUAAUUAUUAUUAAAACAUAAAUACAAAUAUAUAAUACAUACGCCCUCCGUCCCACCAGGACUGUUUGCACGCAUUUUGAGGCUCUUAUAAAGUAUAGUUCAAUAAUGUUUUUUUUUGAAUAAAAGUUUAAACGUCAAAACUUUUUUCAGGAUUUUUAAAAAAUAUAUAUAUAUGAUGUAAGUAUACUUUAUAAGAGUCUUAAAAUGCGUGCCAAAAAGUAACGUAAAGAACCUGUUGGGACGGAGGGAGUAUAUAUAUUGGAGUUUUAAAUAUGAAGUAAUUUAAUGUAUAUUAAUGGUUAGACAUUAAUGUCUAAUAAAUACAUUAGUGUUAAAAGUCAAUAAUGACAUUUAUAUAAAAAAAAUAUGUAUUUUGAGCGAGGGGUAGUAUAGUCACUUUGAAUAAAAUUACUCAAGGUUGUUGUAUUAUAUAUAUAAUAGAUUUUGUGUUCUCAAUUCCCUGAAAUUUAACUAUACAUGUUCUUUAUUCAUAAGUCCUAUAUCUGUUACACAUAUUUUAUUAUGUUUUAAUUAUAUUAUAAAAAUUAAUAAUUUUAAUCUAUUUUAUCAUUAAUUUCGAGUACAUAUACUUUUAUUUUAGAAAAAAAAUUGAAGCCUCACGCUUCGAAGGGAGUAUCAUUAGUAUUAUAACAAUCUUCGGAGUCAAUUGUCAUAUUAUACUUCUGACCAGAAAAAAAUAUUGUCAUAUUAUAAUUUAUACUCCCUCCGUCCCACCCAAUUGUUUACAUUGGGUUUGGGCACGGAGGUUAAAAAAAUCUAUAAACUAGUGAAAAAGUGGAAGAAAAGUUGGUUAAGUAGUGGGAUCCAUUAAUUUUUAAUAUAUAAAAGAAAGAUAGUGGAGUAAAAGUAGUGUGAAAAAGAAGAAAAAGUGAUAAAGUGGUGGAACCCGUUAACUAUUUUGGGAAAUUUUUGUAGUGUAAAGAAUUAGGUGAGACGUCCAAAAAUGGAAACUGUAAAAAAUCUGGUGGGAGUAAUAAAGGAUUGGAUAGCUCAGUAAUAAAGGAUUGGAUAGCUCAGUGGUGAGUUUAUCUUUUAUUGUCAAAUACUAAUUUGUAAAGUAUAUAAGCCUGUAUUGUAAAAAUAAAAAGGAUGGUACUGAUAUCUCCGUUAAUAGCGGUAUCUUUUGUUAUUACAUGUGAAAUUCUAUUUACAUUAGUGAUCAAACUCUAUUAGGGUGAAAACAUACAUUUUAUUUCAAAUUAUGGAUUUCAAAUAAUAAAAUUUGAGUUGAGAUUUCAAAUUCUCAAAAUUAUAGUAUACUUGAAUGGGUGAAUUUCAAAUAAAAUCUAAAUCCAAGUUUCUAAACAAAUUAUUUGAUCAAAUAUAAAAUUUUAUAUGAAAUUCAGAUUCCCAAACUAGCUAUAUCACAGUAUUAUCAUCGUCAUCGAUAGUUUUUUAACCCGUUUUAAAAUAUAUAACCCUGUGUAGCUUCACACGAGCACACUUAUUUAAGUCCAUUCUUCUUUAAGAGAAAUGCUAGGUCCACAGAAUUAGAUACAGAAUUGUGUACAGAAUGAGCUGGCGCGCCUGACGUGCAUCUGAUGUGUAAAGUCUGUCUGCCACUAACCUAAUCUACGCUGUUAUUUCAUUUUUAUUUCUUUUGUUCUUUGUUUCUCAUUUAACUUCACUUUUUCUAUAUUACAAAAUUUAUUUAAUUAAUUUUUCCUCUUAUGUUUUAUUACUUUUUUAUUGUUAAAUAUUUAAUCUCACUCAUAUUAUUUUUUAAGAUCCAUUCAAUAUCUACUCUCUCAUUUUAUUUGUCAUCAAUUCUUUCCUAAAACUUAUAUUUUCCUUUUAAUUUGUAUUAAAAAUUUAACAAAUUCAAAUUAUUUUAUUUAAUUAGUUUAUGUUAAAAUUAAUAUGCAAAAAACCACUUGAAUUUACAAAAAUGAAGAUUCUAGCAUAGAAUGAAUUAUACUUGUAUUUAAAAAUAAUUUUAAACUUUCCUAUCAAAUAAUGUUGAAGUACUUUUAUGUUAAACAUGUGUUUUAAAAUUAUGCACGUUAAUUUUAUUUUUUAUGAUUUUUUUAAAAUGUGUUUGUCAUUAUAUAUGUUUAAGAUUGACUAACUAAAUGACAUAAAAUCCAAUUUGAAUAAUAAUAUGCUUUACAUAAAUUCAUAAUUAAGAAAAAUAAUAAAAUUCUUGAUUUAAGUAGCGAAACAAAAAUAUCAAGCAAUUUUUGCUACAUGAGAGAACUCAAAUUUCAACAUUUUUUAAUCCAUCCUCUUAUCUCUUCCCUCCUGGAAAAAUGAUUGAAGAAGACUCAUAUUUGUUCCUCCCAUUUGUUGUGGAUUCAUAUUUCUGAAAUUAUGAUCAUUCCCAAAAACACUUCCCUGCAUAUAAAAAAUGUAUAUUAAUAUAUACAUAACUUAAUAAAAGGGAUUAAUUAAUUUAUUAUUUUAUCUAACCUGUAAUCAAAUGGAGUAUAAAAUGGUAGGAAAUGUCCAUGAACAUGAGAAAGUGAGGAAUAAGGCCAUUGACAAAUUAUUUUGAAAAGUAUUCUCCCCACAAAUAUUUGCAUUUUCCUACAUACAUAAUUUUAUAUUUAUUAUUAGUCAGGAAUAUAAUAAAGAAUGGCUAAUACUAAAUAUUUCAUAUACUUACAUUGUGUGAAGACAGAGAACAUGUUUCAGAAUUUGAAUUUGCAUAUGUGGUCUUUACACUAAUAUCCUGUAUUUGAUCAAAACACAUGAUUAAAUUCUAAAUAGUUAAAAAAUAAAUUAGAAAAGUAUAUAAAAUCAUACCACUUGAUUACAGAUAUUUCCUUGAAACUCUGUUUGUAAACCUGGCUGUGAACUUGUCCUGGCUAAAUUUUGCAGAUAAUCAUCAGCAACAUCUGGACUUGAUUUCAAACUUUUAUCCUAAAUUAACAAUUUAUGUAAGUUCCAUGCACACAAAUUAAAAUAAAUUAGAAAAGUAUAUAAAAUCAUACCACUUGAUUACAGAUAUUUCCUUGAAACUCUGUUUGUAAACCUGGCUGUGAACUUGUCCUGGCUAAAUUUUGCACAUAAUCAUCAGCAACAUUUGGACUUGAUUUCAAACUUUUAUCCUAAAUUAACAAUUUAUGUAAGUUCCAUGCACACAAAUUAAUAUAACAAAUAAACAUAAAAUUAUAAUAUUAAAAUCACAAACCUGUAUUAUUUUAUUUUCAGUUUUCCUCCUGCUUCCUUUCUUUUUCACAACAACUUUUUCAACUGCAGACAUUUUCCUCUUAGAUGGUGGACGUCCUUUACCUCUCACAACUACUGGAUCUGUGAUUUUUACUUGCUCAGUAUUAACAGCUCCAGACACAUUUUUCAUCUGAUUAUCUUGUGAACUGUCAAUAACAUUAACACUGGUAUCACCCUGCAAUGUAUUCUUCAGACUAUCUAUCCAUUCCAUCACCUUUAGACUUUUUGAAUCAUCAUCCAUUGCCAAGUCUGCAACCUCAUAGAAGGCAUUACACAUCUUUUCAAAUCUCUGUGUUUCAAUCUUAACUGCCAUAGCAUUGUAAUUAAUCUUCACACGAGUGUGACAUUUUUUUAUAUCUUUUCUCCAUCUGCGUAAGAUGUACUUGGAAGGAAUGGUGUAAAUCCUUCUAUGAAUGAGCACCGAAAUUGCAUGUCUACAUAAUAUUCCUUUAAACUCAAACAACUUACAAUUACACAUCACUUCUUGAUCAUUUUCAUUCAAGGCAACCUUAAAAGAUAAAUGUCUUCGGCUUUCUCCAAACAUACAAUCUUCAACAACUUUAUACUUCGACUCCUCACUUUGAAUCGCUGAAACUUCACAAUAAAGCUUUCCCUUUAGCUCUUGUUGAAAUUCUUUAAAUUUCACAUUAGUGUAGAUGGACUGAACUUGUUUCUCCAUUUCAUAAUCUGUUAUGCACGGAUAAGUAGAGUUAUAAGAAUUAAAAUCUUCUUGAUUCUCCUUGGCCACUUUAUUUGCAAGUGCAUUAUCAUAUUGUUCCACAAACUGCUUCAAUGUUGUUUUUGAGUUGACAUAACCAUCAAAAAAUGAGUUCAUACUUUCACUUCGCUGUGUGGUGGACAUACCAGCCCAAAAUACAUCCUUCACAUAAAUAGGUACCCAACGACUUCUCUCAUCAUAUAACCCAUUUAACCAUUCAUUACUUUGAAGUUGAAAAUUUUCAAUCAUUUUAUUCCAACUUUCUUCAAACUCAUCUCUACUCAAAGAGUUGUAUACUGCAUUUUUCAGGACAACCUUUAUUGAGUCAUACUCAUCAAAACCUUUCAACUUUUCAGGCAAUUUUUUCAUUAUAUGCCACAAACACCAUCUAUGCCGAGCUUCCGGAAAAACUUCUUGAAUUGCAUUUUUCAUAGCUUUAUCUUGAUCAGUGAUUAUUGCUUUUGGAGGACGCCCGACAUACACGCAAGCCAUGAUUUGAACAACCAAAUAAAAUUAUUUAUGUCCUCUUUUGAAAUUAAUCCACAACCAAGCAAAAUUGAUUGUCCAUGGUGAUUUACCCCAAUAAACGGCGCAAAAGGCAUGUCAUACUUAUUUGUUAAGUAUGUCGUGUCAAAAGUAAUAACAUCACCAAAUUCUUCAUAUGAAGCCCUAAUUCUUGCAUCAGCCCAAAAUACAUUUUUCAACUGACCUGUUUCAUCCAAAUCCAUUGUAUAGAAAAAAUUUGAAUUAUCAGCUUGCAUUCUGAGAAAAUACUCAUUGAUGGCAUUAGCAUCCCCUUCUCCCAAUCGCAAGCGCCUCACUUUGUCAAGAAAAUUUCUACAAUCUUUUUCCAUAAAAGGUACAUUUUCAGGCCCACCAGCUUCAACAAUUAUAGACCGAUAACUCUUAUUUGGUCUUAUGCCUGCAAUAUCAUUCAACUCAAGUUUUUUAUUAAUAUAUGGAUUUAAUGCUCUAUUGCAGCGAUAGAAUCGAGAUUUUUCCGGGCUCAGGGUGUGAUUAUGACUAAGUUCAAGAGAAUUUAUAAUGCAACUUCCAUCUGCUCCAAUUAUAAUAUUUAUUCUUGCCUUGCAAUUUAUUCCAGUAGAAGGUUUCAAGCGAAACUCAUUUUUUAAUUUUGAAGCUCUCUGACCUUCUCUACAACAGGACAAAGUUUUAUAAAUUUUGUCUCCUUCACCCUUAGUUGAUGUUCUUUGAAACACAGCAAACCCUUCUUGUUUAGCAUAACUCUCAUAAUAGCAAAGAAGUUGUUCAUAUGACUCAAAAAUCAUGCCAACCUUAGGUUCUCCUACUUUAUCUACUACUGUUUGAUUUUCCAUAUUCUACACCAAAAUACAUAAAAAAAACAAUAAUAUAUAUCACACACUAUUUUCAAUAUAUGAAAUAAAUAUAUACACACAAAUGAAAUUUAAAAAAACUUUUGACAGUACAUACCUGAUGUAUGUUGCAGAUAAGAUAUAUAUGUUCUAGUUUUUGGUUGAUCUUGUGGCUCCAAGGUGUUGUGAAUGCUUGAUCUUGCGCCUUCAGAUUGAAAGUAUUUUUAUCAGAUUGUGGAAGAUGAAAGAGUUGAGUUACCAGGGAGAUGAACACGAUGACCCUGUAUCUGUAUCUGGAGAACUUAAUCGACACAUGACCAGCUUAUUAUUAGUUUAGUUUUAAAACAUGCAUUACUUUAAAAAUAUUAUUAUUAUUAACCUAUUAUUAUUUUUAUUACUAUUACUGUUACAAUUAUUAUUAUUAUUAUUAUUAUUAUUAUUAUUAUUAUUAUUAUUAUUAUUAUUAUUAUUAUUUGAUAGGAAAGUUUAAAAUUAUUUUUAAAUACAAGUAUAAUUCAUUCUAUGCUAGAAUCUUCAUUUUUGUAAAUUCAAGUGGUUUUUUGCAUAUUAAUUUUAACAUAAACUAAUUAAAAUAAAAUAAUUUGAAUUUGUUAAAUUUUUAAUACAAAUAAAAGUAAAAUAUAAGUUUUAGGAAAGAAUUGAUGACAAAUUAAAUGAGAGAGUAGAUAUUGAAUGGAUCUUAAAAAAUAAUAUGAGUGUGAUUAAAUAUUUAACAAUAAAAAAGUAAUAAAACAUAAGAGGAAAAAUUAAUUAAAUAAAUUUUGUAAUAUAGAAAAAGUGAAGUUAAAUGAGAAACAAAGAACAAAAGAAACAAAAAUGAAAUAAGAGCGUAGAUGCACGUCAGGCGCGCCAGCUCAUUCUGUACACAAUUCUGUAUCUAAUUCUACGGACCUAGCAUUUCUCCUUCUUUAAUUAUGACAACAGGAGAUACAUGGACCUAUUUCAUUUGAAGUUGUUAGCGAAGUCAAAUUCUUGGUAUGGCCCAUUGGAAAAUAGAUCAUACAUUCAGAAUACUUGGGCGCAUGUUGACGCUUAGAGCAGGCCCAUGCAAAUCAGCCUAAAGCAUAGGUGCAUACAUAUGUUAUAUGCACGGGCUCAUUGUUAAAAGAGUAAAUAACAAAGUGGUAUAUCUAUUAUCUAGGUUUACAAAUUUUACAAGAUAGAUGGUUGAAUUUUAAAAAUUAUAUAAUGAUGGUCGGAGUUUAUUUUCACUUUUUAAUAAGGUGGCGUACAUGAAUUUCCGUUAAUUAACCUCUGUUAACUCCAAAAAAUAAAAGAAUAAACGAUAAAGUGGUGGAAAUCCGACCAACAUUUUGUGAAAUUUGAAAAACUACGGCCACCAUUUUGUCGUUUAUUUUUUUAUUUUUUGUAAUUAACGGAGGUUCACGCCCGCCACCUUAUUAAAACGCGGAAGUAAACUCCAGUCAUUACUAUGUAGUUUUUAAAAUUCAGUCAUCAUCUUGUAAAAUUUAGAAAACUACGGCCACCAUUUUGUCAUUUACUCUUAUUAAAAUUAUUAAAAAUAUAGACACUUUUUAUUAUAAGGUAAAGAUCCCGGUAGGUUUAGAACUCUGAGUUGAAAAACUGGAUUAGACUAAGCUAUUUAUAUAAUCUAUCAUAAAUCAUAAUUCAGGUUAUUGCAAGCACCAAAUUGAUGAUUAGCAGGCCAAUAAGAUUACAAGAUUUAAUGUGUUUUUUUAAUUCUUUUCACGCCAUAUACAUAAAAUGUAGAAUAUGCAGAGCUCAACAAAGUCUAUGUGCCUCGUGAUCAUCAAUAGUUUGAUGAUUAGGGUAAUCCAUGUAAUUAUGCUAGGUGAUUUAUACUAUUACAACAAAUUUUGUACAAAAUCAAUGGUUGAGAAAGAAAUAAACAUCUUUUCUAAUCACCCUCGAUUUAAUAUGUAAAUUUAUUUUAUUCGCAUUUUAUUCCGUUUCAUCCAAACAAACACAAUUUAAGAAUCAUGUACAAGCCAAAUAAAUAUAAAAAAUACCGAUAAAGAAAAUGUAAUAAAAAAUUGUAGAAAACAGAGCCAUCGUGCAAGGACGAUACGUGCGAAGAGCCAUGAAAUAUGAUUUUAGAAUAAAUUUAAGGAAUUUCUUUUUGUAACAGAAACAAAAGAAAAGAGAUACGCAUGCAGCAAGUUUUCAUUUUUAAUCAAUGAUUACAAAGUAAUAAAGUAUAAGAAAAAUUAAUGAGCCCCAAAUCUUUCCCUCCCACAUUCUUUGAUUUUGGUCGCUUUAGACAUCCAAAGGUUACGCCACUGGAUGAUAUUUAUGUACUUCUUAACUAAUCCAAAACCUAAUAAAAAAAAAAAAAAGGAACUAAUUAAUUGGAUUAGUGUAACAUGGUCACAUGUAAAUUGGUGUGCCGAUUAGACCUACAUAAUCAAAACUGAUGGUUUGGCCAAAUACGACAACAGCCGAAAACUUGACUAUAAGUGUGAUUAAUUAAAAGAUUAUUAAGAUUACUAAACUGACAAACUUUAUCAAAGUAGCUAGAUACCCAUCUUCAUCAAGACUACAUGUGAUUAGGGAGCUAGGAUUGGGCAGUUUUGCUUAUUUUUAGAUUAUUAGGCUCUUAAUUAGACAGGUUUAGUUAAUUAGGACCACUGAACCUGUAUGUAUGCACUCUUACUAACGGUUAAAAUAAUCUAACGGGAAAAAAAGUUUAAUAGACUUGUAAAUAAGAUUAUGCUACUCCCUCCGUCUCUUAAUACUUUUCCUGUUUGCUUUUGACACGUUUGCCAACGCACACUUUUAAUCGUUAAUAUCUUUAAUUUUGUAUUAGUAAUAAAUAUAAAAAUUUCACUGUAUUAAAGUACUCAUAAAUACGAAUUCAACAAGAUCACUCAUGACUAUAUUUGGUUUUAUAGAUUAAACGUAAGUUAGUAAUUUGUCUCAUGUCAUGAACAGUCCCGACAUUUCAAAUGAGAAAAGCAUUUAGGCACGGAGGGAGUAAAGUUUAUGCCCCCCAAUUGAUGAACCAUGCUUACUUUAUGGGAGCUGCUCCUCAUCUUUGUGAUUAGUUUAACGUGUGUUUUGUAUGCAGAGCUUGUCAUUGAUGAUUUGUUAAUCUUUCUUGUCUUUUUUCUCGUGGAAUUAAUUAUGGAUUAUUAAGCUGACAAGAGGAUGAGAACUUUGACCAUAUUUCGGGUGUGUGUGGUUUGGUACUCCAGAAGAUUGAUCAUGUGUUAUCAGUAAACUAAGAAGUUUUGUGUCAUUUUGUAUCUUGAGAUUUCUAUUGCGGAUAAAAAUGAGAACCGAUAAUUUAAUAAAUUAAAUUUUGUUGUUUUCCGAUUAAUUGGGUCAGACUUCUAUGAGUUUUUAUUUGAGCAGAACCUCGGUCGGUGAUCAUCUAUGAAGACGUUUGGAUCAGUGAUCAGAGUAAGAAUCUUGAAUGACACAAACAAUUUAUGUUACCCGGAGUCGACUAAAAAUGUCCAACAUGAAUACGUCUCAGAUUCGGCAAUAAUUUAAAAAUUGUACAUAUUUUUUUGCUUAGAAUAAGUGUUAAAAUAUUUAUAUCAUAUUCGAGUGUCGAGUGUCCGAUACAGAAAUUCAAGAUAAAAUAAAGAGUCCAGGUAACAUAACAUAGAUGAGAACUUGUUAAUGAGAACGGAAAUGAUAUGAAAAUAAAUGAUUUAUCCAUCUGUCGGUAAUGUGGUUCCCAUUUGAAGCAACUAACUUACUUAUCCAAACACCAACAAUGUGAUAAGAUUACAAUUAUGUUAACUGAACCCAUUAACUAUUACAAUUAUGUUAACUGAACCCAUUAACUAUGAAGCAAACGUUCCAAAAUUUGUUAUGAAUCAAUAACAUGACGAAAAUUUGAUCAUGCAUGUGAGAUGGUGUAACUGUAGGAUACACCAAAGAUCUGACAUUAGUUAAAUACAUCAAGAUUUUGUAUAACAGUAUCUGAGAUCAUGUAUAAAUGAAUCUAAACGAUACAUUUAACAUGGACAAAUUAAAUUGAAGCAAGCAAAUCAGGCCUUCUAAAUCAAGAUCAACCUAGAAACCAGAGAAGACAUAUUGCUUUGGCUGCUGCUAAAACCUAAAAUGAUCCCAGUUAAUAAUAUUUAUAGCUGCCUAGUCAAUUCUGAGAUGCUUGCUUGAUAAUAAAACCAAGAUAAAAAGUUUUAAACUCUCUAACUCAUGGCUGUGAUGCUGCAUACGUUAUAUUGGUAGCUUAGCCGAAUCGAAAAAACCGAAUCAACGAAAUUAAUGAACAUGGUUGCAGUAAAAGAGGAAACAGGAUCUUGUAUCUGCAAUCAUUAACCUAUAUAAAAUUCAAUUCAGAAUCAGCAAAAAGCCUUGAACCAAGAAGAUACAGAGUUGCAGCAUGUAUAUCCAGCCUUCUUGGACUAGUUUUCGCUUCGAAACAUCGAUAUGUGGCAUGAAGUGCUGCUCAAUUCAAACACAAGUCUGGGGGUUUGCAUUUUCUGUCUGAUGUGUUAAGUCCUUUUUUUUUUUCAGUCUUUCUUCAAGUGUUUGCAAUGAAACAGGGCUUCCUGCUGAUUGAGUGAUGCACAAAUGUGUAUCUUAAGGCUCAUGAUAAAGAGCUCCACAUGGGGCCAUGUUGAUCUUGAUUAUAUUCUCAUCCAGUUUGCAGAUAAUCAGUCAAAUUAUGGAGCAGUCAGAGUUAUAUAUGCUACUUCUUUUGAAGGUGGCCACAUGACUGGUGAUCUAGUGGAUUUGUUAUAAAUUGAUUACUGAGAUAAUCAAGAUUAAGGAUGGUAUCUUCUUUGGUUGCGAGAUAUUUUUCACUUUGGUAGAAGGAUGGGAAUGUGGUAGGGCCGUGAUAAGCAUAUUGUUACUUUAAAUUCAAAAGAGCGAUUUCCAUGUAACAAUGAGUUGUCCCACAUCAAUUGUGUGAGGGGCAGAAAAUUAGAAUAGCAACUUCAAUAAUACGAAUCCUUUAGGGGUGUCCAAAAACAAAGUCGUAUGGACUAGGUCCAAAGCAGAUAUUGUGGAGUUAUGGCUUACUUAGUUAGUCCAACAAGUAAUAUCAGUAUCUGUCUCUUUCUAGAGACAUCUUUAAAUGGUAUAUCUGUCUCUUUCUAGACUCAUCUUGAGAUGAGAUUAUCAUGGAGACAUGGAUUGUUCCAAACUGGCUCUGUAAUCUAGUUAUAAUACGAGACAACUCCUAAAAUUACGUCGUAACAAUCAAUCCAUUACUCGGACUCGGUUUUUACUAAUGUACAUCAGUUACACAUAUUACGUGUUGCACAUACGUAUUGUCGCUGAGGAGACAUGGAAAACUACUGAACAUAGUUAAGCUGAGCAAGUGUGUUGGAGUAAUUUGAAGCUGCAAACUGUAAACAUUGCAACUUUUGUGCAAUCUGUUCCCCACCUAAAAAUAUAGCAUGCUGAUGCUGAUAAAUAAGCGGCUCAAUAAUUGAAGCACCCCGAAAGAAAUCAAAAGAUUCAGUACAAAGUUAGUCCGUGAAAUAUGGAUGUCAACCAGCUAGCUAGGUCUCCUUUUGUGUAGCAUAUGCCCUCUUUUCUGAUUAUAUGUAGAAACAAAUAACUGCCCCUUAACCUAUCUGCCUCGGAAUAUCAUUUAAAAUUUUGUAGCUUGCAACAAAAAUUAUAGGACUGUUUACUGUUUAGCUCACAUUAAAAGAAGUCAUUUAUUAUUUAAAAUAAAUAAAUGAUUAUAAGUGAGUAAUUGUGCCCGUUUGGGUAACCAAACUUCUGACUUCUUUUCGGAAGAAGCUGACUUCUAAUUUUCUUGGCUUGUUUGUGUAAAAAGCCAGAAACACUUAUAAAAAGCUACGAAUGAUAGCUUGUGUCUCAGGACUUCUGCUUAUUUCAAAACAGUUUAAUCACUUAUAAGUCUUAAUCUGCUUCUCACUUCUAGUACACUUCUUUACUUUAAGCAAUAAGCACUUUUUUAAGUUUAUCCAAACGGCUCCGUUGAUUUGGAUUUUUAAAUUAUUAAAAAUAUUGAAUAUCAUGAUUUACAAGUUAUUUAGGUUAGGUUUUGCUGUUUGAAGAAACUGUUAACAUAAAAAUUUAUAUUAAUAUGAAAGUUAGGAUCUCCAAAAUUUAUAUUAAAAAUGUGACAUGCAUCAACAAAUUUUAGCAAUAAUCUGAAUAUUGGAGCUCGUCAAACCUUUUCUUGCAUGUUAUACAAAGAAAAUCGAAAUGAUUUUAGUAAGCGGGGAUGUCUCUUUUAUCACAACAAUACAGAAAAAACCAAAAAGGAAAAAGUUAUCACAUGUCAAGUCAAAGCAUGAAAUGCAGUAAAAUAAAACAAACCAAAAAAUAAAGCACCAAGGUAUUACUUGAGAUUAGUGUGGAAUAAUCAGAGAUAAUAUGAUUCCCUUUUUAAUUAGGAGAAGUUAAUCUUUUUCAUUUUAUAAUUAAUAUCUGUGGGUGAUACAUGUAUGUAACACUGUGCAAGUUGAUUGUGUUUGACCAGAAUGACUGGUGAAGACUUUUGGUCUGAGGGCAAGGUGACACAGUACAUGCGUUGCGCCGACCGACACGUGUAAUACAAUGGGCCAAUGGCCCUUGUCCAUAUUAAUAUAGGUUGGGUUCACCUGCCCUAGGCUUUCUAGAACGGCUCAAUAGUUAGGAAUACAAUUAUUUUUGGAGUUCGUAGUUAUUUUCUAAAAGGAUUCUUACUGUAUUUUGAAUGAUCCGUAAGUCGUAUCGAUUCUGGUAUCACGGUGAAUAUUGUAAAAACUCAUCUUUCACAAUAAAAAUUUGUACAUAUUUUAUGAGUCCUUGUUGCUCAGAUAUCAAUUGAUAUAAUUGAAAGUUCUGAAUGUGGGCGACAGAUGAUGUUUAUGUGAAAAUCAAUUGUGAUGCUACUAGUUUCAUAGUUUCAUAGAUGAUGUAGAUUGGAUUGCUGGACAUGUCAUUGUAUUACUUUUUGGAUCAAAGAAUUUGAAUAUUCUAUGUGUGUUAAGCGAUCUGAAAACAAAACGGCUACUUAUUUGUUUAGCUCGUUCUUUGUUUUACAAUAGAUUGUAGUUGACAGUUCGGGGAUUUGUCCUCACUGGAUGCUGAUGAGUAAUUUCCGUUAAUAAAAUCAUUUGUUUGUAAAAAAAAAAGAAUUAUUAUAUAUAUUUUAACUAAUAUGAGUUGCUCAAAAUUAGUCUUAACAAAGAAAUCAUCAAUAUACUUAUAUAAAGGAGAAGCGAGGGGCGUAUAGGUGGCGCCUCUCUGAGAGCUCCGUUAUAUUUUUUCAAUUUUCUAGAAUUUUUGGAUGAAAAAAUAUCAAAAAUAAAAACUGUCUUUUUUAGUUUCGGAUAUACUGGAAGAAAGUUUCAGAACUAUCUUUUUCAAAAUAUCAAAAUCAAAUCAGAAUUUGAAACUAUCAUCAUAUUUUUGAAAAAUGUGUAUAUCAAAAAUAGAAAAUAUUUUUGAUAAGUAAUCUCUUCUCAAAUCAACUUCUAUAAUUGUAUCAAAAUUAAAUCAGAAUUUGAAACUAUCAUCAUAUUUUUGGAAAAGGUGUAUAUCAAAAACAGUAAAUAUUUUUGAUAAGCGGUCUCUUCUCAAAUCAACCCCCUAUAAAUUGAGGUCAGACAUCAUAAAAUUUAAUGCACACAAUUUUUUUUAAGCUUAUUUGUCUUCUCCAACUAAUAUAAUAAUGAGUUACACUAUGCUAGAUAUUUGUGCUAAAUGUAUUGAAUGGUGAUAGAGAUGAUUGGCUGAUAAGAGCAAGAGUUCGUCGGAUGUGGGAAUAAUACAGUCUUGACAUGAUAUUGUUGGAUGAAAAGUUCAAUAAAUUAAUUGUUAGGCAUACAUGUUUGUUCGUUAUUUUUUUAUAAUGUUUGUUUUGUUCAUCGGACAUGUUUGUUGUUAAUUUUUAUAUGAUUUACUUUGUAUACAGGAAAAGAUUAUUCAUGCAACACUUCCACAAUAUCUGUUUGCUCGGUUCAAGCAUCUUUUAAGUGAAAGUUGUUUAUAAAGUAUCAAAAAAAAUAAAGAUUUUUGCAACUCGCAAGCAAGGUCAGUUAUAGAUUGCGAUCGCAUGGAUUUAAAUUGAUGUUUUUGCGGACAACCAAUCCAAAAAAAAGAAGGAGGGAAUCACUAAUAAACCUGUGAAUAGAUUGGACUUCAUACAUCCCGAGAUGAUUAAUGUUCGUACAACUAGAACAUAAUGUCUAGGAUGGUUUCAAAGUUGUAUCUCAAUAUUUUUUAGACUUUUACGCACCAAUGUUAAACACAUCUAAAAUUAAAAUUUGUCGUGCUUUGAAUCAUUUGCAUCCAGAUUUUUAUUUUCAUUUUUCCACUCAUGAAUUAUAGUCCAAUUUUACAAUUUUAUAUAUUAAUAUUGGUAUUGUAUCGAGAUGUUUAUAAUAUAAAUUUAUUUUUAUUCUAUAAAUAUUAAUUUUAAAUCAUUAAUAUAAUUUUUAUAAGUUGCCUCAAAUUUAUUUUAUUUUAUAAAUAUUAAUAUUAAAUUGUUAAUAUAAUUUUUUAUAACCCGCCGCAACGCGCGGCUUCUCAACUAGUUUGAAUAAACAGAAGAUGAGAUCCGUAAUAUUAAUCAACUACUAAAGUUCAAGUAUUUGGACUAUCAAAUUUUUAACAUUUUAAAUUUAAUAUAUAAUAUAAAUUUAAACAUCAAACGUUUUAUUUACUUAUAAGCAUAUAUUAAAAAUAUUAAUUCACUACUCUGUGAUUUAUUUGUCAUGUUCAUUUAUUUGAAUGCUUUCUAUAUAAUAUCAGAGUUUGAAAUUUUCUUUUUAAAUAAAAAAUGAGAAUACUAUUAUUUUAUUCAAUUUAUCAAUUUAUUGGCCUUAUAUGUUUAUACAUUAAAAUUUGAAUUUAUUCACUUAAUUUUAUUUCUUUGGUGACACAUACGGGUACACCAAUAUAAGUUAUACCUUGUAUAAUAAAAUUAUGUAUAAAUAUUUAAAUAUUCCAUAUUAAUCUUGUGAGAAGUUAAAUAUGCAUAUUUUCGCCCAAACCUCUUAGAUAUUUUGCGUCAUUUAAAAAAAUAAAAAUAAAUUUUGAUGCAUGGCUUGUUUAAUGUUCCCACACUUCACAUGUGAGUAGUGAGUGCAAGAUCUACUGGUUACAAACUUGAUCAUUCUUGUCUUCACUCCUGUCUUGUGAAAAGAAUCCGUCAAGUAAUUCAAUUAAAACAUGUUAUUUAUAUAAUAAAUGAGGCAAAACAUCACGCCAAGGGCCCUAACCUUAAUUAUUGAAUCAUUGAAAUCAUGGGUAUAGGAUUCUAUUGUCAAUGCUCAUGCUCAUCCUGUGCCCAUGGACCCAUUUCUGUUGUCACUCACCAAACCAAACCAAGGGCAUGAACCUGUCGACCAUCAUCUACUACAAAAAUGGGAGAGUAAAGCUCGGAAUCAGAAUUUCGAAACAUCCGAGUCAGGAUAUUUAAUUUCCACAAUUUUAUCAAAUACCCAAAAAUAGUAGAACUAAAAAAAUAAAGGGUCCGUUUGGUUGAGAGAAGCAGAAGCUGCUUCUGGUUUCUACUUCUCUUGACCCGUUUGUGUAAAGAAUUAGAAGCAUUUUUAAGAAGCUGAGAAGAAUAGUUUCUGCUUUUUUUCCAAACAAUUUAUUAACUUAUUUACUUCUCACUUCUACUUCACUUCUUUAUUAUAAGUAAGAAAUUACUUUUUUUAAGCUAACCCAAACGGUCCCAAAAUUUACUCACUUUUUAAAGACGAGAAAUAUUAUACUAAAUUUGGAUUUUAGCUGAUCGGUCGAGAUUUGAGUUCAGUUUAUGACAUUAAGUUAGCCCCUCUCUAGUUGGUCUACUGGGCAUCAAUAACAAUGUUCAUUCAUACUACCCCGUAAGAUUUUUUGUUUUUACCUAGCUCCCGAAUGUUACUACUCGGUUAACAUUAGUACUUGUAGUAAAAGAAGAAUGACCAGAGUGGUCAGUGGAGAAAGGAGGAAAAUAAAUGUCAGUUACUACAUUACUAAUGAAGGGUGUGUUUGUUUAUGAAGUUGGUUUCAAUUGACAUAUUGAGGAAGCUGUUGGCCUCUAUGUUCUCUGUACUCAAAGUGGGGCUGUGUCCUAAAAGAUGCAAGAGAGAAGGCCAGUGGUUGUCCUGUCACAUGGCAGGUACCUAUCAAACAAGAAACUUAUUUUAUCUCUUUUCUUGGACGCAAGCAUUUUCUUCACUAUAUUAUCAACACAUUAUGCAUAAUAAUAGAUAUCCUGCAAGACUGCAGCUUCAUUUCAUUUAACCCCGCAGAGAUCAUACUUAGACCAUCUACAAUGCAGGGACACAUUGUGCCUCGGGGCAUGCAAAAAAGAAGUGGGCACCUCAUAUACACAUGUUUAGCAUUGGAGAGAAGUUAAAAAAAGCGGCCAUGGACAGCAUGGUGUCCCUGGACAACUUCUGUAAAACCUGCUUAUUUAUAUUAUUUUAUUACAAAAACUGAAAAAUGCUGCAGCUACUUUAUACACAUACAUCAACAAUUGAAAUGAGGAAACGGUAAUAUUAACGUUACGAAUGUAACGUUAAUAUAUUAACGGUAAGAUUUUUUUUUUAUAAAUACCUAAAAAUUCACAUUUUAUUAUUCACACUCUUACUUCUUGAAAAAUUAAAAUUUCUCUCAAAAGAUGAAUCCAAAUAAUCCCCCACCUCCAAAUUCUACAAAUCCGAACCCUCAAUUUCCAUAUCCAUAUCCAAAUUCUUAUUUCCCAAAUCCACAAAAUUUUAAUUCUCAAACCCCAAAUUCUCAAUACCCAUUUCCACAUUCUCAAAAUUCUCAAUAUCCAUUUUCAUAUCCUCAAAAUUCUCCAUAUCAGUAUCCAUUUCCUACAUUUUCAAAUUCACAAUUUGAAACUCAACAAUCACCUCCUAAUUUCGAAAAUUCUCCACACUCACAAGUGCCCGCCUUUAAUAAUAGAAAUUUUAUUGAUCUAAAUGAUGAUUUUGAGGAAACUGAAGAAGUACGAGAAAUUACUGGACAGUGGAAGUGGGCUGAAGAUAAGCUUUUAAUAAGUGCAUGGUUGAAUGUGUCAAUUGAUCCCCUAGUGGGCACUGAUCAAAAAGCCGACGCAUUUUGGGACCGAAUUCAACAAUAUUGCGAGGAAGAUAAUCCCGGUGUCAUCAAGAGAGGAGCUGCAGCUAUGAGAAAAAGGUGGCAACGCAUAAAUGAAGGUGCUCAGAAAUUUGGAUCAUGUUAUGAAGACGCUUAUAAGAAAAUGGGGAGUGGUGCAAAUUUGGAUGACGUAAAUGAGAAAGCUCAUAUUUUGCAUUCUGCCAAAUACAAAAAGAAGUCUAACUUUGAUAAGCAUUGGUUUGAGCUUCGUAGACAACCCAAGUGGAGAACUCCUUCAACCACUGACAGUUCGAAAAGAACUAAAAUAAGCAGCUCUGGAGCUUACUCAUCAUCGGGAAAUAACGAUACACCAACAAGUGAGAAUGUUGCUGAAUCUCCUGUUCGUCCUAAAGGUAGGGAAGCGGCUAAAAGAAAGGGAAAGGGAAAGGCAAGAGCGGUACAAGCGUCCGAUGAGUGGGAAGAAUUACGAGCUAGUACAUGUCGAAAGCUAAAUCUAAUGGAAGCAAUAAAUGAAACUCGUCAAAAGGAAAUUGAGACUCGAGAAAAAGAGAUUGAGGCAAAGCAAACUGAAAUGGAUUUACAAGUCAUUUUGGCAGAUACUACUAAAAUGAAUGAUAUUCAGCGGAUGGCUCAUUCAAAAUUGCUUGAAAAAAUUAUGGCAAGGAACUAGUUUGUUUUUAUUUGUUUGUAAUGUAGCCGUUGGAGGCUAGUGUUUGUUUUCAUUUGUUUGUAAUAUAGCCGUUGGAGGCUAGUGUUUGUUUUCAUUUGUUUGUAAUAUAGCCGUUGGAGUCUAGUGUUUGUUUUCAUUUGUUUGUAAUAUAGCCGUUGGAGUCUAGUGUUUGUUUUCAUUUGUUUGUAAUAUAGCCGUUGGAGUCUAGUGUUUGUUUUCAUUUGUUUGUAAUGUAGCCGUUGGAGGCUAGUGUUAGAAUAUAUUCGUUUUUUUCUUCUAUAUAAACUACUUGUGUUAGUUUGUUCAAUUCACUUUACAAUGGAUCAAACACCUUCACUAGAAAAGUUUACUGAAGAAUUCAUCGAUGAGUUUUGUUUCGAUGAUGCUGAAGACAAUCGUCGUCUUGAGUUGUAUCAUGAAAUAUACGGACAGAGCUCACGAUCCAAGCCUCGAAAAAGUAUAUUCAGAGACCGUGAAUCAGGUCAUCAGCGUCUCAUGAAUGAUUACUUUUCACCGAAUCCAGUAUAUCCUGAACAAAUCUUCCGCCGAAGAUUUCGUAUGGGAAGACAUGUUUUUCUGCGUAUUGUGGAUGCUCUUUCAAAUUCUGAUCCAUACUUUCAACAAAGAAUCGAUGCAGUGGGAAGAAAAGGCUUAUCACCUUUACAAAAAUGCACUGCAGCAAUACGUAUGUUGGCGUAUGGAGUAUCUGCUGACGCUGUUGAUGAUUAUGUUCGUAUUGGAGAGACUACGGCGAUUGAAUGCUUAAAGAAAUUUGUCUCUAAUAUCAUUAUGAUAUUUGAGAGUGAAUACUUGCGCAAGCCGAACUCCAAUGAUGUAGAACGUCUACUACAGAUGGGCGAGGCUCGUGGAUUUCCUGGUAUGAUGGGCAGCAUUGACUGCAUGCACUGGCAGUGGAAAAAUUGUCCUAAAGCGUGGAAGGGAAUGUUCAUGAGUGGUCACAAAGGAGUUGCAACAAUUUUACUAGAAGCUGUUGCUUCAUCUGAUCUAUGGAUAUGGCAUGCAUUUUUUGGAGUUGCUGGAUCAAAUAAUGACAUAAAUGUAUUAGACCGAUCACCAGUAUUUGAUGAAGUGUUACAAGGUCGUGCUCCAGAGGUAAAUUAUACUAUCAAUGGGAACAAUUAUAAUAUGGGCUACUACUUGACAGAUGGAAUAUAUCCUGAAUGGGCAACAUUUGUGAAAACAAUAUCACGUCCACAAGGUGAGAAAAGAAAAUUAUUUUCGAAAUAUCAAGAAAGUCAGCGAAAAGAUGUUGAACGAGCGUUUGGUGUGUUGCAGUCUCGUUUCGCAAUUGUUCGUGGUCCUUCACGUUUUUGGGACAAAGCGGAUCUUGGGAGAAUUAUGAGAGCAUGCAUCAUAAUACAUAACAUGAUUGUUGAAGACGAGAGGGACACGUACGCCACUCAAUUUGGUCCUUUACCAACUUAUGAUGAUGCAACAAAUGGCUUAAUGCAACCAAAUUUAGGUGAAGAACCUUUUAUCCCGUAUGAAACGUAUAUUCAAAAUAUCAUACAGCUGCGUGAUAAACGGACACAUCGUCAGCUCCAAAAUGACUUGAUUGAGCAUAUCUCGCAGUUUCACAACAAUCGUUAAUUUUUAUAUUGUAAUUUUUAAAUUUAAUGCUUUCCUGUGUGAUGUUUAUGUAACAUUUUAUCAUUUAAGUUUUUAAUAAUAUGAUGCAUUUUAAUUACAUGAUAUGUUUUUUAUUUUAAUAAAAUUUUUUAAAAAAUAAACACAGAAUAUGAGAAUUAGAAAAAUUAAGUUAAAUUGUAACGACAUAGCAUACGUAAAUUUACUACAAAUAUGAGACAAUAAAAUAAUUAAAAUGGGUCCUACAAAAAUAAAGCAAAUGGGCUGUACAUUGCAUGAGCUUGGAUAGUUUUGGACGGUGGACAGUUUUGUGAUGAGGUGGUAUCCAAAUGGGGCCCAUUGAAGAAAAACUUGUCCACAGCAUUGUGGAUGGUCUUACUACAUUGAUUUCUGCAAUUAGUCACAGGUACUGCUGGCCAAAUGAGAGGUUUCGAACCACUCGUGCAGAACCAGACUGUUAAUUAUUCGUUUAAAUUUAAUCAAGUAGCGGUUUGAACCGGUCCGGCCCGAAUUGUUAAAAAUAACGAAUCGAAUACAGGUCGUUAAGUUUAAAAUCACAAUCGCCCGCAAAUCCGACAAGUUGGGCAUAUUUGGGAAUCAACAAAUUAUUCGUGAAUUAUUCAGCCCGCGAAUCAACUCCUGUUGUUCGGUUACGUGCUUGUUUUUCGGUGCACCAUGGUUAACGUGUGUUAACACUUGUUUGAAUUUAUUUAUUUGAUUUUUAUAAUUAAAUUAAUGUAACGAUGCGGUCUGUUCCAUUUUUUUAAAGAGGAUAAUGGUCAGUCAAAGGUUGUCCUCUACUCAUUCGAACUGUUGCCAAGUCGACCCAGGUCGAUUGCCCUAGUGGCCAAGACCAGUUACAAAGACCAAGUCCACCACAACGUUAUCUUCUUAUCACUCGUUGUAACUGGCAACGCUUCUUUUAUAUGAAUACGUUUAUUCGCUAUAAUGCCGUUGUAACUGGCAACGCUUCUUUUAUAUGAAUACGUUUAUCCACAAUAAUGUUCAUGUUAUUCGUUAUACUUAGUAAUAAUUUUAUUAUACGAAUACAAUUAUUCAGUGCAACGCUUUUUUAUCCGUUAUAAUAAUAACACUUAUGAACAAAACUUGUGAUUUUUUUUAAUCUUAUCACGCUUUUUAUUCGCAGAAAAAUAUGUCACAAACUGACCCAAUUGUUGAUGAAUUAUUGGCGAUUCAUUAUAAAGGACCCUGUCUAGAUUGUUAUUAUCGGUUAUAACUAGUAACGCUUCUUUUAUAUGAAUACAAGAAUACUCCGUCCGUUCCUUAGUUGUUUACACGAGGCGACGGGGGCGCAACAUGUACUUUAAUGCUUUCAUAAAAUAUAAUUUGACAAAUUAUUUUGAAUUUUAUUUUUUUGACUAAAAGUUUAAUAUUUUUAUUUUUGGGAAAAAAUUUAAAAUAAUUUAUGAAAUUCUAUUUUAUAUAUAUUUUAAAGUACGUGUUAAACAAUGUAAAAAGACCGUAAAAAAAAGAGGGAUAAAGGAAGUAACACUUUCUUUUGUAUCUAUACAAUUAUCCGUGUAAAGUUUUUUUACCCAUUAUAUAUAGUAACACUUUGAUUUAUAUGAACAAAAUCUAUGAUUCUUUUUAAUCUUAUCAAAUUUUUUAUUCUUCAAAAUAUGUCAUACAUUGACCUAAUUAUAAACGAGUGAGCUCUGCAAUAUUUAAUCAUGAGAGACAUAGUCUACAACAUUUACGUUUUUAUUAUCCGUUAUAACUAGUAACAUUUUUAUUUAUGUGAAUACGCUUGUUUAAUAUAAUGUUUGUAUAUCCGUUAUAAGUAGUAAUAUUUUCUUUCUAUAUGGAUACGAUCACUCAUUAUAACAUUUUUUUUACCCGUUACAAAUAACAACACUAAAUUUAUAUGAACGAAACUUGUGAAUAUAUUCGUCAUCCCACUUCUAAUAUAAUUCACAAAAAAUAUAUCACGAACUGACCCAAUUAUGAAUUAGUUUAUGUUACUAUGUUUAUAUGAUCACCAGAAUGCAGAAACAAUACAAAGAGGAAGAGAGAAAUGUAAAAAAAUCAUAAAGAAAUGAGAGGAACAAAUGAAGCAACACUUUUUUGUAUAUGUAUACAAUUAUCUGGUGUAAAGUUUUUUACCCAUUAUAGAUAGCAACACUUGAUUGAUAUGAAUAAAAUCUAUAAAUUUUUUUUUUAAUCCUAUCUCAUUUUUUAUUCGCCAAAAUAUGUCACAUAUUGACCCAAUUAUAAAUGUGUGAGAUCUGCAAUUAGUCAUAUGAGACAUAGUCUACGACAUUUACGUUUAUUAUCGGUUAUAACUAGUAACGCUUCUUUUACAUGAACAUGCUCGUUCAAUAUAACGUCUAUACAUCCGUUAUAACUAGUAAUUUUUUUUUAUAUGAAAACGAUUACUAAUUGUAACGUUCUUUUAUCCGUUAUAAAUAACAACACUAAAUUUAUAAGAACGCUUGUGAAUUUUUUCGUUAUCACACUUUUAAUUCACGAAUAAUAUAUCACGAACUGAUCCAAUUAUAAAUGAGUUUAUGUUACUAUAUAUGUUUAUAUGAUCGCCAGAAUGCAGAAACAAUACAGAGAGGAAGAGUGUAGAAAGUGAUAGCUCCAGAAGUUGAGUAAAUAUUCAUUCCAUUGUAAUAAAUAAAACAUACAUAUCUCCUCAUUAAUGAAAUUGAAAACCGAACUAACUAUAUACUCCCUGUCCCAUUUUAACUGAUGUUUGACUUUUUGACACGUAUAUUGAGAUGCAAAAAACCUAUAUCUACACUUAAUAAAAAAAUUCAAUUUUUAUAUCAAAUUAAAGUUUAGAUUCUAAACUUUUAUUUGAUAUAAAUUAUACAAAGAAUAAUUAUGUUUAGAUAUGAUUUUUUUAACACCUUAAAAUACGUAUAAAAAAGUCAAAAGCAGUUAAAAUGGGACGGAGGGAGUAUAAACACUGUCCGUAUGUAUGCAUCCUUUUAACUCAGAACAGAUUCUGUUAAUACAUUUCCUCAAAUGUCCAUGACAAUUCAUAUUACUUUAAUCUUCAACUUCAUAACCUGCUAUUUCAGUUUUAACCUCUCUCACUGGAACUUUAACAGUGACAUCACUCUUACAGGCUCAGUGAGAUUUACUUUACUUGCAUUUAGUGCCUGCCUUUAUUCUUAAGUGAUCAACCCAUUUAUUGUGUUAUUUAUUUAUGUAGAAAAAAACUGACAUUUUAUUUAAGUUUCAUUGGGAUUUGUAGUGCUAACUCUCUCCGCAUGAUUCUGAGUUCAUCACUUCAAGCAACAAAAACACAUUUUCCUGGUUAAAAGAUCUAAACCCUUUAUUUGUUUGAUUUAUAAUUUAUAGUAUAACUUUAUAUAAGAAAAAUAUCGGGUCAUUCUGAGCUCAACCAGUGUUCUGAAGAUCUCCGAUUAAUUUUGAUUAUUUUUUUAAGGUAUUUUUACGCGGCAUGGAUUGGUCGAUUGACUAAUCUUGGCUUGUUAACCCGCCGAUCGAUUUAUCGACUACACUAUGAUUUAAUUGAAAAUUAAUUCAUAAAAUCUACUACAAAUCCUGAAUUCAUAUAUCAACUGAUCCGUUCUGAUUUUUGAUUUUUAUAACCAUGAAUUUCAAUCUAUAAAAUUAUUCGAGUUGAUUAAAUAAAAGAAAGGGAGUGCUAGUAAAUAGAAAAAGGUGAGUCUGCUGUAAACAUACAAGGCCCCAGCCCCCAGGUGAUAACCACUGCCAUACGUACCCAUCUACUUUAAACUUCUCUUUUCUCUUAUAAAUACUCCCCCUUACUCAUUUCAUCUCUCUCAGUCUCUUUCCUCACAAUUAUCAUCUUCAACAAACCCAAUCACACAGAACCACAGUUUAACUCUCUCUCUCUCUCACCUUUGUGUAGUCCCAAAAAGAAACCCAAAAGUUGCUCGAGAUUUUACUCCAACAUGGCUGCAACAACAGCUCCUAGUGUGCCUAGUACAAGUGGUGGAGGAUCAAGAAACACAGAGCUCUGUCUAGAUGAGAAGUGGAAGCUCUCCAAGAAAGAAGGCUCAUUCUCCUCAAGAAACUCAGCAUCCAUGAACCAAUCCAGCUCAAGAACUCAUCACUCAUCUUCUAGAAGAAGAUGUGCAUUCACAAGAAAGUGUGCUAGGCUUGUCAAAGAACAGAGAGCCAGAUUCUACAUCAUGAGGCGCUGUGUCACCAUGCUCAUCUGCUGGCGUGACAAUUUCUCUGAUUCCUGAUCUUUUUCAACUUUUUUCGAGAUUUUAUCUUGUGGGUCAGUUUUUUUUUUCUUGGUUAGGAGGAUUCAAGAAGACCCUUUAUAUGUAAAUACAUAUGUGAUAUGGCUAUAGAUUUUUGUUUUUUGAGGUCUAAAUCUCUGUAAGAGACACAGAUUCUUUAUGUUUAUGUAGGAUUUAUUAAUGUUAUGAAAUACAAACAUCAACUCAAUAUAUAGGUGAUGCCUUUAUAAAUUUCAGUCUUGAUGAUUGACUUGAAUUGAUGGUGCUUCUUGAAAUCUCUCCGGGAGAGAUAGGGAGAGAGAGAGAGAGAGAUUCCCAUUGAAGCAUAGCAGUGGGCAGUGCAGCACUGUGUGGAUCCGGUGUGCUAGCCUGACACUAAUCUUAUUUUAUUACAAUAAUUUACUAUAGAUUAUCUUGUAGCUCUAAAUUUUUUACCAUUUUUUAUUACUAGCGUAGAGUAGUUCAAAAUAUGUGGCAGUCUCGCAAAACUGGAUCAACGUGGGAGAGAGAAUUGACAACUUUACUUUCGUUUCUUCUUAUACUAAUGCCACUUAAUAAAGAUGCGAUUUUUAUAUGUUACCAUUACUGCUGAUCAGUGAUCAGUAUUAUAUUGAUUUGAUUUCAACGGUGGUCAUUUUAAGUUGAAAAAAUUUGGGAUAGUGGUGCAUAUGACUUUAUUGUGUAAAAUGUACGAGAAUGGAUUUUAAUAGUUACCAAGAGAAAGUAAAAGGUUAAAAGUUUUACCAGGUUUUCUGCAACUAGUACCAUCACUUUCAUUAAACAGAUUCCACAGCUGUACGUAUAUAUCACAAGAUUCACCGCGGUUAAAGUUCACUCUACCCGGUGUAACACCUCCACCUCUCGUUUAACUUAUAAGUUACUUAUAAACGGAAAAAUCUAGCACCUUUUUGGCAACCAAUAUUUUCAUAAAAUAAGUCGUUCUUUUAUUUAAAAAAAAUUUUGUUUUAGAGUUAUUUUGGAUGUAGAUGUUAAAGAAGUGUUUCAUAUUCGUUAUUUGACAAAAAUAUAAAGACUUAUUUUAGAAAAAAGUAAACUAUUUUUUUAUAAAUAAGCUCUUGUUUUUGGAAAAUAAGAUUAACCUAAUUGCAUGUUAGUAUUUUUGAAAAACUACUUAUAAGUCAUGGCCAAAUAGUCAUCGUACAAACUCGAUUGCGAGAUAUUAUGGGGCUGUUUGGCUGAACUUAAAAGAAUUGAUUUUUUAUUGCUUAAACUAUAGAAGUGAAUUAUAAGUGAAAAGUUGGCUUAAAUUUAUAAGUUAUUAUUAGCUGUUUUUAACCAGAUCGAACCUAAUUGGUUGUCACUUCCAAUUAUUUCACAAAAUAUUUACUGAAAUGUAAAAUUUACUGGAAAAUAUUGUUGGAUGAGGAUAUGGAUGAAGUCUGCAAGGGCAAGGAAAAAAAGACCAUAUGGCAGCUGCUACAACUGUUGCUUAAAAUCUUUGACCACAACAGCUGCUGGACCACUCUCAGGCUUUGACUCUUUCCGUGGAGUGGAGUGGAGGCCAUAACUUUGGGCUUUUUCACACUGCUGUGCUGCUCACUCUUUUUCACUUGUGAAUAGGACUGGGUAAAACAUAAAGUAAGGUUAAAGGCAAGUAUGAGAUUGAUGGCCUCUGCUUUUCAUACUUAAUUCUUUUUGCUAUUAUUCAAUUCUUGACCAUUUUUAUGUUUUCUAAUUACCUGGAUUACGGACUACUAAUCAAACGGUGCAAGUCUAGUUUUAUUUUAUAUUUCUCUAUUUUCACACGAAGUAAUAUACAAAAUUUCUCUUUGACCAUUUAGGUGAGUUUAAAAUAAGCUCUUCUUGAUAAAGUAAAGAGUUGAAGUAGAAACAAGUUAAGAAUUAUAAGUGAUUAAAGUGUUUAGGAAAUAAGUAGAAGUUACGAAACAAAACUUUUUAUAAAUAAUUUUUAACUUUACGGUACGAAUAAGUGGUUAUAACUUAUAGAGUCCGACCAAACACUCCCAAAAUAAUAAAUCAUCCUCCCAGCAUAUAUUGAUGUUCUAUCGAUAUUUAGAAGUGACACGUAUUCAGAACUUAGAAGUAUAGGUUAAAAAUAAAAUUCAUGAGUAGCAAUUUUUUUUAUGUUUAGACGAGCUCAGAUAUUGAAUUUGCCAACAAAAUUGAGAAUUUUCAACCAUCAAUCAAAUAAGAAUAAAGAACGGUUAAGAUAUCAUCUGACUCAUAUAUCAUGCGUUAGUGUUUCGAUUAUGACAUUAAUCACUACUCUUAUGAUUGUUUUCACAAAGCGUGAUUCUAAUUGGGAUCAGUGUAAGGGGUAAUCUGUGUUUAAGAAUUAAGAGAUCCUCCUCAACAUUUGUGCUCGAUGUAGUUGGAUUGUGUGGGUCAUUGUGGCAAUAAUGGUAAAUCGAAUUAGAUUUUGGGUGCCAUAUUUUCAAUAAUUGGAUUUGCUUUAAACUGUUGAACUUGAUUAUUUUUCUCCUCGCAAUCGACAGGUAUAUCACGCUGAUAUAAAGUUUGUGCAUUAAUCAUUUCUAACCUUAUCAUUGCUAGGGCGUGCUUUUUCAUUUUGAUUUAUUAGACUUCUAUUCUACUGUAGCCAGAUCUUCGUUCCCUCCCCGUUUUUCUUGGAAUACCAUCGCGAUUUUACGAAGUGGCUGUUUGGCGGGGCUUUUAAGCCAUGCUUCUGGACUUUUAAGUUAGAAGCACUUAUUUCGUACCGUUUGUGUAAAAAAUCGAGAAGCACUUAUAAAAAGCUACGAUUCCUAGCUUUUGUUUCAUGACUUCUGCUUUUUUCCCAAACACUUUAAUCACUUAUAAGUCUUAACUAACUUCUAACUUCUACUUCACUUUUUUAUUUUAAGCAAGAAGCACUUAUUUUAAGCUCACCCAAACGGCCCCGAAAUCUCACUCAUUUAUUGAUGAUGCAGAUCUUGUAAUUUGUUGUGAUUAUAAGGGGCUAGGUAGAAGCAAGAAUCUAGGUUCCUAGAAUGUCGAAGUUACCAUGUCAAACUUGAAAUUUAAUGUAGACGUUCAUCUGAAGUUGUUUACAUAAGUGAGUUGCAUGAAAAGCAAAAACGACUCUCGACAUCAUCUGGUGUCCGAAAAAGAGUUUUAUGCAUUUCGGGUAAAAACGUAAACAGAAAUAAACAUAUUCAGUAUAUUUUACUCGAAAUAUCAAAAUAAGAAGACUUUAAAAUGCGUGUUACCGAGCACAAUUGGAUAACCCAUGUGGUGGGUUUAUCCUCUGUUGUCUCCGAAAAUCCGGGUUCGACUCUGGCUCAUCCGAAUAGUAUUAGAAUGUGUUACCGUUACCACUAACCACUAAAACGCUAAAGUCUUGCAACACUAUGGGUAAACCUAUAUGAAGGCUCUGCUUGCGUUGCAGAAAACAUAAAAGCCAAAAUAAAUGCAUUUUGUACUGAAAGCAGUCCAAAAAAACCAUAAAUACUCAUCUUGACAAGUGCUAGGGUCAAAUUCUCAUAUCUAAUCUAUAAGCACAAACUUUAAUGCUCCUGUAAGGAUAGUUCGAAAUAUUGUUCAGUAACUUAUUUUUUAAGUACGUGUCAAGCAGUGCACGACAAAAUUGAAUGAGACAAAGAGAGUAAAAGGUAGUAAAUAUGUAAUCUAUACUAUAUUAUUAAAACUAGACAUACAAAAGGUAGUCCAGUACGGUGCAUCAUAAAUAUUGGAUCACUUAAAUCAAAUUAAUGAGAACCGUAAUAUUGAAUUAUAUAUAUUUCACUAAAAUGCUACUAAAGUUCUGAUGUUCAAAUUUCGUCAAUAACAUAAUAAUAUAUUAGAGGUGCCUCGCUUUCCCACCACUAAUCACGGCCUUUUGAGUGCUGGAACAUUUUCUAGUACGGGAGCUGAUUCACUACAUUAAGUUACACGGGAGAAUCUGCUUUGAGAAAUUGGCAAGAGUCAAAAAGGAAAGAACAUAGGACGAUUAAAGAGGGUCUCUAUAUUUUAUAGUGAGGAUUAGCGCUGUGUUAAAGAUAACUUUUUUCUAUAUGCCACCAAGCACCAAAUGGGACACAUUUGGAGCUUAGGGGGAUACCUGUCUCUCAGCUAGAACCACGGUUAACUAACAACAAAGGGUGAGCCGUAAAGAAAACGCAUACUCAGUGAAUGAGGUGGCCACACUAUCCCAUAGGUCUGCUCCAGCUCUUUUAUCCCUCGUCCUAAGUCCAUCUAAAACAUGUACCAUGUCCCAUUGGUUUCAGAAUUCAGAAUGUACCAGUAACUAACAAUAUUUCCAUCAUGUUCAGCUGUGGCAUGGCCUUAUUCUACUCAACUACCACCAUCGAUUUAAUCCCACCUUCAAUUAAUUCUCUGAAAUUAAUGUCUAUUUACACUUACUUGAACAUAUGAAUGAUCUCUUCACAAUGAUACCACUCAUCUUACAACUAAACUAUUGAUUUCAAUUAACCAGUUAACUAUCAUUAUAUAAUAGUAGACACCAGGAGAAUUAUUUUUUUAAUAUUCUCUCUCUUGAAGCAGAAAAGCAAUUAGGUAUAUUUAUCUUCAAUCGCCUUAUCUUCAAGUCUCUUCUCUCUAAUUAUGUUUCUUUCACUAAAUUAUUGCUAAUACUAAUCUACAACUUAGGGUAUUUCAAAAAUUUGACUUGUGCCAUUCGCAAAAAUUCAUUACUAUCGGAAUUAUUGUAACAUCACAAGAAGUAAAGAGCACAACAGUGCCAUUAUGAAUUCCCCAUUAAAUUAUCGUGAUUCAAGUUUCACCAUGUUUGAUCCAAAUAGUCCCAUAAAGAUUCAACAUGAGCUUUUAUAAUUCCUAUAUUUGCCCAAGCAUUCAUUUGAUCUAUUUUCAACUAUCAAUUAUAUGCAAAUUAAUUUAAGUUCCUUCAUCAGUUUAUACCUAGACACACAACAAGAAUGUAAUGACGUAACAGAUUAACCAUAAAGAAACAUUUCUAGGAUAUUAAGGUACUUUGUGCCUACAUAUUCGAACAUAAGAAUAUGAAUACUAUCUACUUUGUCAAAACAUAAUCCAAAAGGGCAAUCUUAAAUAAUACCAUAAGGUGUGAUAUUAAGCAAUAUGCUUCAACAAUUAAGAGGGGUGUAUAGUGCAUACCUGAGGUACAAGAUCUAAUAAAGAUGCACAUGGGAGCACAGAUCGUUUAUUAAAGCAACUUGCAAAAUCAUAUGGCAUAUUCACCAGCAUAUUCUCUAAAAGCCGUCAUACGUAAAUUUUCCCGGUUUACUUGGAUAAAGAGGAUAUGGCAUAAAAUAAUGAAACUUUACAAAUUCAAAAUCCGUAAAAACAUCUUGCAAGGAAAAACUAAACAUAGCUAACUACAAGUGGAUAAACAGAUUACAAUCUAAGAAACCCUUCAGAAAUGUCAUAUUUGCGCAUUCUCAGUGUAAAAGAAUCUGUGUACCUUAUACUUCAAAGAAGUCAGCUCAGAUAGUAAUAAGGCUCUACCUUUUCAGCUAACCUUCUGCACAAUAAGGUGCCGUAAUAUAAUGAAUUAUUCCAGGGGAGUUCUGUUCAUCAAGAUUAAGUCGUCCUCUUUAUUAUGUACAAGAUCCACAAUCAUGUAUGUCUCCCAAAAACAUAGAAUGUUCAUCUUUCUGAAAAGACAAUUACUAGCAUAUUACACAAACAUACUUGUAUUCAUGUUAUCGUCGAUCAAAAGGCAUGUGUCUAGGUGAAGAAGAGUUGCUAAAUACCGACGUCACCGAAUUACUCCUAACAUUCACCCUAGAAUCAGAACUUGAACUAGCAUCCAAUGAUCUUGAACCGCCAAAACAACUAAACAAAUUCCCUAAAACUCGCCUGAACCCACCUCUUUCCNNNNNNNNNNNNNNNNNNNNNNNNNNNNNNNNNNNNNNNNNNNNNNNNNNNNNNNNNNNNNNNNNNNNNNNNNNNNNNNNNNNNNNNNNNNNNNNNNNNNNNNNNNNNNNNNNNNNNNNNNNNNNNNNNNNNNNNNNNNNNNNNNNNNNNNNNNNNNNNNNNNNNNNNNNNNNNNNNNNNNNNNNNNNNNNNNNNNNNNNNNNNNGAAGCCCAGGAAAUCCUCCUCGGAGCCCCAUUAUUAUUAAACCCGCCGUCCAUCUCUGUAAACACAACAGGUAAUUCUCGUUCACCUCUCCUACCACCUGAAAACCUCCCCACAGCAAAUCCACCUCCCGGCAACCUCCAUAUCGUCAACCCAAUACUUUCAUCUUCAUUAUUCUGCUCCACAUUUUCCUCAUUCUCAACUCCACUAGACUCAAUAGGCAAUUCAUAUCGACAAACAGGACAAGAAUUACGAAUAGACAACCAAGGCACAAUACAAUCAUAAUGAUAAAUGUGCUUACAAGGCAUUUCUCGAGCUUCGGUCCCAAACUCAAACAAUUCAGUACAAACAGCACAAUGCAGCUCACUACAAACAUGAUCAUCACCAAUCACCACACUGGGCAUCGACUCAAUCGCCACUUUCGAAGCCGGUGGAUGAUCAAUCCUCCCAACUCCAUUCGCUUCAAUUUGCGAUAGCUGAUCCAACAACCGAUCGAACCCCGAACCCAACAAAGACCCCGACACACUAUUCGGCAACGGCCUCAAACCCGACCCGGCACCAUCAUCAUAAUACAACUCAAAACCCGACCCGGACACGGAUCCGGAACCCGACCCGGAAUCACCCAUUUGCUCAGACCCAUCACUAUUUCCACGAAGAACAAUGACAGGAUUGAACGGAGACCGGUCGUCGCCGGUGCGGCGACUUCGGCGGAUCGCCGGCGUGGAAUUCUGAUCUAAAUUGGCGCGAUUUCCGAUCAUGAACAAGCGGUUUCGGUUCGGGUUAUCGAUGGACUCCACAAACCCGGCGUUACAAUCGGGGCAAGAGAGAUUAUUAAGAGAUUGUUGAUUUAAAACCCUAACGUAUCGGCUGCAUCUGUAGCACCAGUGAGAAGAAGAAGGCAUGUUUGUGUGUGUGAAAUGCAAACCGUAGAAAUUUGUGUGUAUAUAGUGCGUGUAGAUCUAGAGAGUUUAAAGAUAGAAGUACAACUAGUGCGUGUGUGUGUCUGAAAAUGAAAACUAAAUUUUACAAGUAACUUGUGUGUGUGGUGUUUGAUUGAGAAUGUGAAUUUGGGCAGGUCGAGGGGACUGAGCAAAAAAUAGAAUAUAAAUUAAAAAAAUUUAAAACCGCAUCGAACGGUGUCAAAUCGAAUCUGAAACUGAAAUCGGAAUUAAAAAUUUAAUUGUUCGAUUCCGGUUAUAAUUAGAAAUCUAGCCGAAAAAAUUGUGUUGGUCUAAUUUUUAAAAUUAAUAUUAUAUAUUUUAUUAUUUAUAAUUUAUAUAGAAUGGCGAUUGUGGCGGGGUCGCGGUAAAGAACGUUCAUCCGGCGAUUCAAUCGGACCAAGAGCGGGGCGACCGUUGUGACGGAGCCGCGGCGGAAGACGUUCACUCGGCGAUUCAAUGAGAGCAAGAGCGGGGCGGUGAAUUAAUCCGACGAUUAUGUUGAUGAAACUGUGAAAAAGGAGAAGAAGAUAGAGAGGGAGGUGGAGAGAUAAGUAAUAAAGAAAUGAAAAAGUGAAUUAAAGAAAGUAGAAUAUUUGCAAAUUUUAAAAAAUUUUAUAUUUGAAAGAUUUUAGAGAGAGUAGUACUCCCUUUGUUUUCUAUCAUUUGACGUUUUGACUUUCGGCACACAUUUUUAAGUCAUUUGACCGAUAGUUAAAAAUAUUAUUUUUGAUUUAUAUUUUUUGUGAUAUAAAUCAAUACCUUCCAUUUCAUGCAAAUUAAUCACUCAACUUUACAUCACCAUUUUAAUAUUACACUAAUAUCACACUAAUGAUAUAGUUUAAAUGUAUAGCAAAUUAAUCACUCAACUUUGUAUCUAUUUUCAAUUAGGUCAACGGUUAAUUUUAAAUUUAUAACUUUCAAAAUUAUGAUUUGCAUCUUAAAUUUCUAUCUUAAAUUAUGGUUUUAAAACUUCUAUUUCUUCUCUCAAAAAAAAAAAAAAACUUCUAUUUCUAAUAACUUUCAAAUUUAACUGAUAAUAAAUCAUGUAAAAUAUAAUGUUAGAAAAUUUGAUUUCUCUCUCCGCCUCAACAUUCUUUACUGGUUACUCCCUCCGUCCCUAAAUACUUUUCCUGUUUGUACUUUUCACGUUUGCCAACACACAUUUUUGAUCGUUAAUAUCUUUCAUUUCGUAGUAGCAUUAAAUAUAAAAAUUUCACCGUAUUAAAGUACUCGUGAAUACGAAUCUAACAAGAUCACUCAUGACUAUAUUUAGUUUUAUAGAUUAGAUGUAAAUUAGUAAUUUGUCUCAUGUUAUGAACAGUACCGACAUCAUAAACAAGAAAAGAAAAAAGAAACGGAGGGAGUAUCGAUUUUCUGUUGGCUCAGUUGGAAGGGAGAAGAAGAGGAGAGGAGAGGUAGAGCUGACAAUUUCGGGUUUCGGAUCGGGUUCGGGUCGGGUUGACUGUUGUGGGUCAAAAAUUUUACUCAAUCCGAACCCGAUCUGAAAUUUUAAUGGGUCAGAAUACCCAACCCCAACCCGAACCCGACCCGCACUACCCGCGAGUAACCCGAACUCGAUCCGAAAAAUAAUAUUAAUUUAUAAAUAUAUUUUAUAAAUAAUAAAUAAUUAUUAUUUUAAUUGAAAUAAAUUAAUUUUUAUUAAAUUAAAUAAUUUUUUAUUAAAUUUAACAGAUAAAUAUUAUAAAAAUAAUAUAAAUAUAUAUAAUAUUUAAUUAUAUAUUACUUAUCGGGUAAUUUCGGGUCAAUUUCGGGUAACCCGAAUUCGACCCGUUUUUUCUGGGUUGAUUUUGGGUCAACCCGAAUUCGACCCGAACCCGAAAAACUCCAACCUGAAUUCGUAUUUUACGAGUCAAAUUCGUGUCGGGUUGUCGGGUCGGGUCCAAUAUUGUCACACCUACCUCCUAAGGAGAGGGGGGCGGAAGGCUGUUGGUCGAAGGAGACAGGAGGUGAUUGAAAUCGACGAAGGGGAACGAAGGUAAGAUAAUUAAUAGCGGUGAAAUAUUUUUAAUAUACAAUGUCCCAGUUGAAAGUUAUAUCGAAUUAAAUAAUUCGUCUGAAAUAUUUUUUGGAUUGACGGCCCAAAUAAAUAAUUUACUAUAUUACAUUGAUGGUUUAGUUAUUUUUAUUUUUUUUGACAAAUGCAAGAAGAUUUCAUUAACUUGAAUAUAAUACAGUCGGGACAAAUCCCCAACUGCCGAUACAACCAGGUGGUAAAACAAAUAACAUACUAAAAACAAUUAGAUGAUUUGUUUCCUGAUCGUUUAACACAUAGAAUUUAAAAAUUCUUGAAACUAAAAACGAAAUCAAAGACAUCCCAAGUGAUCCAAACUGCACCAACAUCUCUCGAAAUAGUACCAUCGCAAUUGACCAUAUCACGUAAAACCCAUUGUUAGCCCAAUGUUCAGAAACACCAAUCGCAUGAAUUGAGAUUGGAGAAACGGCACCACAGCUAUCUACGUGCCGGACACCAGCUAUAGACAUGCCGAAGGCACCCCAGCUAUCUACAUGCCGGAUACCAGCUAUAGACAUGCCGAAAGUGUAACCCCGUGAAGAAUGAACAAUCUUUUAUUGUGAAAGGUGAGCUCUUACAAUAAUCACCACCGUCUCAGAAUCAAUACAGUCUUUGCAGAUCACCAAAAAUAUCAAUAAACUCGUUCUCAAUAUAUCCAACAUCAAAUGAACCCAAUCACAAUUAGACAAAAACAUAACAAAACACUCCAAAAGGAGAGACAAGACACACACUCCAAGAGGAGAGACACACAAACACCCAAAAGAUUAGGUUUUAUUGAAAGGAAAUUAACGAGAAUAAAGGAAAAAUGAAGGGGUUGGGGCUUUCCACCGGAGAAAACCAGUGGAAGCCCCUUAAUUUACUUGAAAAUGCACAAACCCUAGAUGAGAGGGAGAGAGGAGGGAGGCGGCUAAACCCUAGAUGGUUUAGUUAUUUAAUCACAUGGAUAGACAUUCAAAGUGCACGUUAGCGUUGAAGAUAAGUUUGCAUUGAGCAGAUUGCAGAUUAGUUGAACUUGAUUUUGGGUAUUUAGAUUCUGCAGCGUGGCAUUCGAGGAACUUAAUUUAAUGGUGUAGAUUUGUCGACACAAUUCACAGGCUCAACUAAUACUCCCUCCGUCCCACCGGGUUGUUAACGUUCACUGUUUGCACGCAUUUUGAGGCUUUUAUAAAGUAUAGUUCUAUAAUGUUUUUUAAUUUAUUUUUUUUCUGAAUAAAAGUUUAAACAUCAAACUUUUAUUCAGAAUUUUUUUUAUAAAAAAAAACCUCAUACAACUAUAUUUUAUAGAAGUCUUAAAAAGCGUGUCAUGUUAACAAUUCAACGGGACGGAGGGAGUACUAAACAUAAGAUAUUGGCAAAUGGCAAGGUAGGUAACAAUAAUAGUGGUGAGAGCGGUGCAAUUUUAAUUUGAUAAAGCAAAGAGAAAAAUUCAUCUUAAUCGAAAUUUAUUUUUCUUUCAAAAGUAACACCAAAAUAUUUAUCUUUAAGAAUAAUUUAGAUUUUGUUUUCUAUCAUUUUCUGUUUUCUGUAUUCAGAACUAACUAUUUAUUAUUUUUAUAUUUAAAGACUGUUAUCUUAGUAUAUAUAUUCUUAAAAAAUUUUAGAAAUAAAAUCAAAUAUUAAAAUAUCUUUUAAAAUUAUUCUUUUGUCUUUUCAAAAAAAUAAUUUAAUUACGAAAUCAAAUAAUUAAUAUACUAAUAUAUGUUUUUCUAUAACUAAAUUAAUAUCAAAAUUUUAGUGAAUAUUUAAUUUUUGAAAAAAAGAACGAGCAUAAAGUGAGCCCUCAAGGUUGGUUGGAAAUCAAAACAGAGUUUUCCCAAUGCUAGGCUUCUAUGCUUGACAAGGUGACGACGUGACGCUCGCACAUAUGAAAGUUUUCUAUUUCGCCGAAUUGUACAAUUAAGUUAACCAAUUUUAAUUAAGUUAACAAUUUUACUAAACACUAGCUUAUAGCCCGUGCAAGACACAAGAGCUUUUUAAUUAUUUAUAAAUUUUUUAAAUAUAUUUUAAAUGGUGCGAAAAAAAUUAAUUUAUAAAUAAUAAAUCAAAAUUUUCAAUAAAAUAAAUUUUGAAAUUAUGAUUUGUUUAUAAGUUAGAACUGUUGUAAAUACAUCAUCACAACCAUUAAUGACUUCAAAUAAACUAUUGUAAUCAAGUCAUUCCUUGUCUCGUAUGUAUCAUGUCAAAGGUAUUAAAUUCUUUCUAUCAAAUUGUAAUAAAAUUUUGAGUUGAAUAUGUGAGGCCAACUUCUAUUAGAUUAUAUUUAUAAAUAUAUUUUAUAUUAAAAUUAUUAUAAUGUGAUUUAAAUAUUUUUCUAAAUUAUGGUUCUAGAUUAAAACUGAUAAAUAUAAUUUGUUUUGAAUUAAGAAAAGGAAUCAUAAACAUGCAAUAAGAAGGUUGUUUUGGAUUAAGAAAAAGUUUUUGUAUUCGUUCCUCACAUAAACCCGACUUAUUAGUUUUAAAAUAUAUAUUUUAUAAAAAAUUAUGACGGUGCGAUUUAUAUAUAUAUAUAUAUAUAUUAUAUAGGCUCAUGAUCAAAUAGAAACCACUUUUAAAAUAAAAACUAGAAACCAAUACAAGUUAGUGAUAUUCGCAGUACAAUUUAAUGAUAUUCUCUUUAGGAUUUAGUGAUCUGUGUUGCAAGAAUUAGUGAAAACUUGCAGAACAGCCCGGAAUCUCCAUAUAUGUUCCAAAAACUGCUCAAAUCUCCAGAUCUGUUCACGUUUUCGAUUCAGAUGGUAGUGACGGUGGUGGAGAUGGUGGAGGUGAAGGUGGAGAUGGAGGAAGGAUGAUUGUAGCGAAAGUGUGGGUGGCUUGAAGUAGGUGGUUGGAGCUUUGCCGGAAUAGUGGCGGCUCCGCCGCGUUUUGAAGUUGAGCCGAGGUGGAAAAAGAAGUAUGAACGGGGCUGAAGAAGGUUGAAGCAGCGACCAAGACGGGGUUGGUGAAGAUGGAGGUGGAGAUUGUGUUGUCAGAGAAAUAAUGUAGGUGGAGAUGGAGGGGGCGGGCGGCAUAGAGGUGGUGGUGGUUAUAGAGGAGGUGAGACGGAGGUGGUGGCAGUGGCGGAUGUGGAGGUGGGGUUGGUGAAGAUGGAGAUGGAGAUGGGGUUGUUUAAGAAUUUGGUGGUAUCUGUUUUAGGAUUUAGUGAUAUUUCAGUUUGGUUUUUAGUUUCUAGACUAAAGAGGUUUCUAUUGGAGUAAAACUCUCUCUCUCUCUCUAUAUAUAUAUAUAGGGUCUUACUCUGGUACAAACCACCUUAGCGUACAAACUACAAACUAAAAUUAAAAAGUCUCUAAAUCAAAUUGAAAUAUAGCACAUAUGGUAUCUUAAUUUAACGGUGCUUAUUUGUUCAAUAUACGAUCCAACGGAUGAUAAGCUUUUGGACCAUGGAACCAUGCGACCAAAUUAUCUCCCUUACGCUUAUUAUAUAUAAGUAUAUAAUAUGCAAUGUUAUGCAAUUAAGUUAACAUGUUUCAUGUGUUUAUUGUACUAGACGAAACUUGUAACACCUUUUUUUAUAAUCCUAAAUUUUAAAAAAAAUUAAUCAUCACAUUUUUUUAUAGAUAUGUAAUUUUUAAUUUUUAUUUAAUAUUAUUUUUUAAAUAUCCGAAUUAGACCCGAACCCUAACCGAAACCCGAAAAAACCCUACGAAUCGGAUCUGGAUCUUCAUUUUCCAGAUCCGGACCCGGACCGGAACUGACCCGAAAUAUAAUAGAUCGGGUCGGAAUCUAAAGAAACCCGACCCGACCCGUUGCCAACCCUAUUUAAUGCGUAAUAUGAAUUCAAGAUGUGCGUUUGAUAUUGCAGCUUAAUUAAUUUGCUAACAAUUAUAAUAUUAUAUUAUAAGAGUAGAGUUUGCUGUUUUGAGAGUCGACUUCCAAAAUUAGGGUUCUAAUUAGUCAUCACUUUUUUUCUCUUCCACCUUCAUCCUCUUUAUUAAUUAAUCAUCUUCCUUUUUUCAUCUUCCGUCUUCUAUCUUAUUUAUUGAUUUUAUUGAUAAAAUCAUGAUCUAACCCUUUUUGGGUGAGUCCUUGGUCAGUGCCUUGUCAUCAAGGUUGUUAGUCGUGCUCAUCUUUUUGGGAUGUUUGUGUUUGUUUUGAUAUUUUGGUGUGUUUUGUUAUGGGUUUCGAUAACGCUUGUAAAAAAAUUUUACAUGGUACUUUGGGUGAUCCGUAAUGCUUGUAUCAAAUAUGGCACGGUGGUGAAUAUCGUGAGAGCUCAUCUUUCAAGAUAAAAAAUUGUUCAUGUUUUAAGGUCAUUUAUUGAUUCAAUAUCAGUUAAUGUAACCGAUAAUUUUGAAUAUUACACUACAGAUACAGAUACUGUUACGUCCCUAGCUGAUGUAAGCUCAAUAUUCGAUUGUAUAUUUAGAUAUUCAAAUAUUUUAGUUAUGAUAAAAUAGAACUCUACAGUUCUGAGGGGUAGUUAGUCUCUGGAGCGGGACGGGUCGUAAUCAGAAUCGAGUUUAAGGUAUUAUUUUUGAUAUGAAUAUGUUUAGUCGAGUGUUGUAACUUGUGAUGAAUGUGUACUUUCAAAUAUUAUUUUGUUAUUGAUUCAAUUAUGUAUUUUUAGAUGAAAAAGCAAAUACUUUUAUUAUUAUUACCAACAUUUAUUUGUACAUAUGAAUAUUAUUUUUAUUAUUAAUAUUUUUCGAUGAAUAAAAAAAAUCAUUAAUAAUGAUACUCAUACCCACAUCUCACCCUAUGUUUCGAGAAAAGUUCUAACCAAACACUAGGGGUGUAUUUAACUAGGAUUUCAAUGAAUUGUUUUUAAUUUGUGAAUUUCACUGAAUUGUAUUUGAUUUUAAUCUGGUGCGGAUUCUUAAUAAAAUAUCGUAGAAUUGACAUAGAUUUUUUAGGAUCUAAGUAUAAUGUUUCGAAAUCUUAUGAAUUUUGGCUAGAUUUCAAAAAACUUAUAAUACAAUGAACAAUCCUGCAAAAUUCAUCAAUAUAUAUAUAUAAAGGAGGAUGCGAGCAUCUCUAGAAUUGUUCGAUUCAGUCUUCUGAUUUUUCUUAAAUUUCAGAGAGAAAAUAUAAUUAUAAUUCAGAAAAUUAGGUUCAAGAAUUCUAAAGGUAAUAUGACUCUUUUCUUAUUAAAUUCUAAAGGUAAUACUCUAGAAUCUAGAAAAAGAGUUCUAAAAGUAAUACAAUUCUUAUUGUUAAUUGUAUAUUAAUAUAGAAAUUAUUAAAAAAUUACAAUUCUAAAAAAUCUAGAAAUCCAUUUAAUUUUUCCUAAUUUUUUUUUUGUAAAUUAAUAUUCAAAUUAUUAAAGAAGUACAGUUUUUAUUAUAAGUAAUCCACUAAAUAGAUCAUCGUACAUGUUACAAAAACUCAUGUACAUAAAUGCUACCGCAAUUUUAAUAGAGGAUGCAGGGCGGUGACGUGAUGUCUCUAGAAUUGUUUGAUUCGGUGUUAUAUUUUUUUUUAAAUUUUGAAUAGAAAAUAAAAUUAUAAUCUAAAAAUUAUGUUCAAGUAUUGUAUAGAUAAAAAGAUUGCAAAGAUAGUACAACUCUUUUAACUAUUUAGGAAUCAUAAAAAAGUAGAAUUAUAUUUAUUCAAAAUAACAAUUAUUGAACAAAUAUAAUUGAAAAAUACAAUUCUUAUUUUCAAAAGUUAUAAAAUUUAUAAUCUUAUUUUAUUAAUUUUUUUCAAAUUAUAUAUCUAAAAAUAAAAACCAGCAUCUUCCAUAAUCUUAAAUUGUCUAAACAUGUUUGUAGCACUAAAUUCACGUCGUUCCAUCGUGACUAAAAAGAUAACAUCUCUAUCAUGAAAACAUUCUUUUGAGAUCUCCGCAACCUCAUUCAAAUAAUUUUAUUGAAUUUUGAACAAUAAAAUUUUUUUCUUAUAAUUUCUUAAAUUUUGAAUUGAAAAUAUAAUUAUAAUUUAAAAAAUCAAGUUCAAGGAUUCCAAAAGAUAAUACAAUUUUUUUUUUGAUUCUAAAAGUAAUACAAUUCUUUUUUUAUUUAGGAAUCCUAAAAGGAAUAGGGUUAUAUUUAUAUAAAUUAACAAUCAUAGAUAAAAUACAAUUUAUAUUUAAUACUUGGAAAGUAAUACGUACAAUUUUUAUUUUCGAUUUAGUCUUAUAAUUUUCUUAAAUUUCGAGUAGAAAUAAGGAUUGUAAAGAUAAUAAUCAUUAAAAAACUAAUAGCAAAAAAUUAGAACCAUAAAAAAAUAAUAAAUUUUAACUAAUAAAUAGAAAUCAUAAAAUAAAAAUAAUUAAUAAAAUAAAAUAGGAUAUAUAAAAUAGGAAUCAUAUAUUGAUUUUAUGAUAAUGUAAAUGAUUCUUGAUUAGUAUUGUAUUUGACGGGCACGGGAGGCGGCCCAAACUAAUUAUUAUCUAAAGAAUAAUAAUUUUUCAAUUAGUAUUAUGUUUGAAGUGAAAGUCGCUAAAAUAAUUUUUUUAUCUAUGUUAUAAUAUUUUUUUUGUUAAAACAGGACCACGGCUCAAAAUAAUUUUUAUCUAAUUAUAAUAUUUAAUUUUAUCAUAAUUAGGAUAAUUUUUAUAUUUAUUAAACUAACGAUCAUAGAUAAAAUACAAUUUAUAUUUAAGAUUUGUAAGGUAAUAAGUACAAUUUUAGUUUCGAUUUGGUCUUAUAAUUUUGUUAAAUUUCAAGUAGAAAAUAAAGGAUUGUAAUGAUAAUAAUCAUUAAAAAAACUAAUAGCAAAAAAAUUAGAACAAUAAAAGAAUAAUAAUUUUUAAUUAAUAAAAAGUAAUCAUAAAAUGAAAAUAAUGAAUAAAAUAAAAUAGGAAUUAUAUAUUAUUUUUAUGAUAAUGUAAAUGAUUCUUGAUUAGUAUUGUGUUUGACGGGAACGGGAAGCGGCCUAACCUAAAUUUUAUCUAAAUAAUAAUAAUUUUUCUAUUAGUAUUGUGUUUGACGGAAAAGUGGCUGAAAUAAUUUUUUAUCUAUGUUAUAAUAUUUUUUUUUGUUAAAACCGGACCACGAUUCAAAAUAAUUUUUAUCCAGUUAUAGUCUUUAAUUUUAUCAUAAUUAGAAUAAUUUUUAUUAGUAUUGUGUUUGACAGUAAGGAGACUCAAACUAAUAUUCAAAUUAUAAUGUUUUGUUAUUAGUAUUGUGUUUGACAAGAGAGCGGCUCAAACUAAUUUUGAUCUAAAUUAUAAUAUUUAAUUUUAUCGUAAAAAUAUUAAUUAUGGAUUAAUAUUGUCUUUGACGGAAGGGCGGUUCAAACUAAUUUUGUUAUUAGUAUUGUGUUUGACUGGAUGACCACUUUAAUAAAUUUUUAUAGUAAUUAUAAUAUUUUUUUUAUUAGUGAUAUGUUUAACCGGAAGAUGACUCAAAAUAAUUUUCAUGUUAUUAUAAUAUUAAUUCAUAUUAAAAUUUAUACAAAAUUUAUAACGCCGCCGCGAAGCGCGGCUUUAUUCGCUAGUUAUUUUAUGAAGUUCAAAAAAUCUAUAAGUAUUUGAAUACUAUCAAAUUUUAAUGGAAUUUAAACAAUCCCAAUAGAAUACUAUUGGAUUUUAAAACAUAAUUUAAAAUCCUAAUUGAAUACUACAAUAUUUUGUAGAAUAAUUUUAAAUCCCAACUGAAUAUUACAAAAUUCUAUUAUAUUUUUUUAAAUCCGAGUUGAAUAUCCUCGAAUUUUAUGAAUGAAUUUUUUUCUUCUUAAAUUCUCAAUUAAAUACAUCCCGUAGAUAUGAUUUCUUUGAUUUCAUAUUCAUUUUUUACUUCCGAUACCAACCAACCAAAUCACCCCAAUAUAUGUUUUAAAAUAUUUAUUAUAAAAAAGGAUGCAUUUUUAUAACACAACAAAAAUACAAAAUUGAAACAAUAUUUUAUUUAGAUGGCAACAAGAAAGGUAUGAAUCUAAAUGAUUCCAAUUUAGCAAAACAUAAAAUCAAGAGUUAAUUAGUGCCCCGUUUGUAUAGUACUAAAAUUAAAAAUAACUAAAAGAAUCUCAAAAAGGGAACGAUAUCCAAACCCAUUAAAACAGCGUAUCCUUGAAAUAAAACCCUAACACAGUCCUGUAAGAACAAUCACCUCUAACUCCAUCUCUACCGUCCAUAUUAUCAAUCCAACGGUCCAGAUCUCUUCUCAGAUCACGCUUAUCAGUCUCUGUCCUGAGCUCACUCCUCUUUUUCACACACACUCGCACACUCUUAACUCUUUUCUCUAUAUAAAAAUGUCAUCUUCAGUCGCCGAUCAUCGAGUAUCCUCAUCGCAAAAUUAAUGAUAUUACACACAAAAUCAGCUGUAUCUAUAUGUUUAUGACACAUUGUAUCGAUUCAUGUAUUUUGAUCGGUGAACUAAGUGAUUAAAGCUUAAAGUUUUGAUUUUGAUCGGUGAAUUAAGUGAUUUGAGGUUAAAGUUUUGAUUUUGAUCGGUGAAUCAAGUGAUUUGAGGUUAAAGUUUCGAUCUUUGAUCGAUUUCUGUUAAAUUUGAGGUGUUUGUGUUUGGGUUUAGGUGAAAUGAUUACGGAUAGUUAUUCGAAGAUGAUGUCGGAUAUCGGAAUGCGAUCGAUGAUGCAGAAUGAGGAUUUAGGGUUUAUGUUGAGGAAUCAGGAGAUUAGUGAUAGGGAAAGNNNNNNNNNNNNNNNNNNNNNNNNNNNNNNNNNNNNNNNNNNNNNNNNNNNNNNNNNNNNNNNNNNNNNNNNNNNNNNNNNNNNNNNNNNNNNNNNNNNNNNNNNNNNNNNNNNNNNNNNNNNNNNNNNNNNNNNNNNNNNNNNNNNNNNNNNNNNNNNNNNNNNNNNNNNNNNNNNNNNNNNNNGGGAAAGAGAUAGAGAGAUAGAUUUGAGUAUGUAUCGAAGCGGUUCAGCUCCGCCGACGGUCGAAGGAUCGUUGAAUGCUGUAGGUGGAUUGUUGAGUGGUGGCGGCAGUGGUGUUAGUGAGGAGGAAAUUAGGUCUGAUCCGGCUUACAUUUCGUAUUAUUAUGCGAAUGUGAAUAUGAACCCUAGGUUGCCGCCGCCUUUGUUGUCGAAAGAGGAUGGGAGGUUUGCGCAGCGGAUGCAGGGGGCUGGGAGUUCAGCUGCUAUAGGUGAUAGGAGGAAGAUUGGGAGGGAGGAUGGUGGUGAUGGGAGUAGGUCGUUGUUUUCGGUGCAGAUGGAGAAAGGACAGCAGCAAGGGAGUAAUGGAGAGUGGAGUGGUGAUGGACUUAUCGGAUUGCCUGGUUUGGGAUUAGGUGGCCGGCAGAAGAGUAUUGCUGAACUUAUUCAGGUGAAUUUAGUUGGUAGUAAUGAAUUCUUUUAUUUGUGAUUUGUUUCGUUAUGUUUAUUUAUGUUAUACACUGUUAUCGAUUUGUAACGUUGCUGAUUGUUUGCGUGUUGGAUUGAAUUUAUUACUAAGCAGUGUUGAUGUAUUUUGGAUCUGUCAUACAUUAUGGUUUUGUUCUUCAGCAGGAAAGUGUGGACUGUUAAGUUCAUCUUCCUUUAAGUUAUUACUUACACAUAUAACAUAUGUAUAUAUUAUUUUGAUUGAGAUUAAAAGGAAUAUUCUUUACUGCUACUAAUGUGAUCUUUUCCUGAUUUUCUUAAAUAACCUGUUAUAGAUGUUUUUGAUUCAAAUGUUCAUCAUUGAUGGUUGAUCUUGUUUAUUUUAAUUGUUACUUGUUAGUUUGAAUUUAAUACUUAGCUUUGUUCAUACUUUCGCUACAUAUUGAGUAUAUCAAAUCCAUGAUAUGUUAUGUGCGAGUUUUGUUUGUGCUUAGCGGAAUAGUGUGGUUUUUUGAGUUCCUUUUCUCUCAAUUACUACUUACUAGUUUCUUAAUGUAACAUUUUUUAUGUAAAGGUAUAUUUGAGAUUAAAAAAAAUUAAUUUUCCAUGACCGAGUUUUUACAAAUUCAGUACUAAGACUCUAACUGGUCGUACUACACAAUUAAUAUAUUACUAUCUAAUUAUAUUCAUUGUCAGGUUGUGGAUGUUGCAUAGAUUUUGGGGCCUAUAGGGUGGCUGUUUAUAUUGUUUUCUCCUAUCCCUUUAGUUAAACAUAAACUUUGAAUCAGUUGGGAUGAUUUAGUUAAUCAGAUAUGGGACUAAUUAAACUUCAGUCCAAAAUUGUUUAUCUGUUUUUGCUGUAGAAACCAUGGAUUGAAUUAUUGUUUCUUGUAAAUUCUGUUUGACAACUCCUCUUUCUACCACUCUCCAUUUUUGUUAUUUCAUAUUAAAAAGUUGUUUGUCAUAUGCUUUUAUGGGAUGCUUUACUUCUCUUUUGUCUCUCCAUAACAUCUUUACUUUCACCACCCUUGAAAUUAACAUGCUCUUCCAUUCACAAGUUUAAAAUCACUACAGUUUGCAUAUUAUUAUAUACUUGAGGUUCCUUUAAUCAAGAGGUUAAAUCUUCAUGCAGGAUGAUACUACUCAUCAGACAUCUGCUUCGGGGCACCCUUCUCGUCCAACAAGCCGUAAUGCUUUUGACAAUGGUGUUGAACCUUCUGAAUCUCACUUUGCACAGUUUAAGCAGGACUUGGCUUCACUGGAUGCUGUGCAUGCUUCUGCAAACAUUCAAGGCCUGUCUUCUACUCAGAAUGUUAAUUCCUCGGUUUCACAUACUUAUGCUGCUGCAUUAGGUGCUUCCUUGUCAAGAAGUACGACUCCAGAUCCGCAGCUUUUAGCUAGAGCUCCUAGUCCUCGAAUCCCUUCUGCUAGAGGAGGCAGAAGCUCUCUGGAUUUACAAAAUGUUAAUGGGUCAAUUUCAUUCAAUGGUGCAUCUGGGCGUGUGAGUCAGCAAGCAGAUCUGGUUGCUGCUUUGUCAGAAAUAACUCUAUCAAACAACCUUCUGGAUGAAGAGAACCAUGCCAGGUCUAGAAUUCAGCAAGAGAUCGAUGACCAUCAAAAUUUAUUCCAUCUGCAGGGUGAUCAGUACAAUAAUAAACAACAUCCAUACUUAAACAGGUCCGAACCUGGGCAUUUGCAAUCUAUAUCCCAGUCAGGCAAAGGAUCUUAUGGCUAUGGGGUAAGGGCGGAACUGAACAACUCUUCUUUAUUAUCUGAUGUGCAAGUCAAUCUUCACAAGCCUUCGCUGGCAUCUGCAAACUCUUACUUGAAAGGGCCAUCCACACCAACACACAAUAGUGGAGGAAGUUCACCUUCUCAAUAUCGUAAUGUUGGUAGUCCGAAUUCAUCAUUUUUAAACUAUGGUCUAAAUGGGCACAACAUCAAUCCUGGAUCGCCGUCCAUGCUUGGAAAUCAGUUUGCAAGUGGAAGUUUGCCACCUUUGUUCGAAAAUGUUGCAGCUGCUACAGCUAUGGGGGACUCCAGAAGAAUGGGUGGCUUGGCCCUGGGGCCCAAUUUAAUAGCUGCGGCAGCAGAGUUGCAGAACCUCAGCAGAGCUGGAAAUCAAAAUGCAUUGAAUGGUCUUCAGGUUCCACUUGUAGACCCAUUAUAUCUUCAGUACUUGCAAUCAAAUGAGUUUGCUGCUGGCGAGGGUUUGAAUAAUUACAUGGAUCUUGCUGGAAUCCAGAAAGCCUACUUAGGGGGUGUCCUUUCACCCCCCAAAUCACAAUAUGGUCUUCCUUACCUCGGAAGUCCAUCCAGUCUGACUCAUGGUUACUAUGGUAACCAAGCAUAUGGACUCGGAAUGUCAUAUCCUGGCAGCCCAUUAGGUGGCUCCCUUCUACCAAACUCUCCCUUCGGACCAGGUAGUCCUAUCAGACAUGGCGACAGGAGCCUUCGCUUUCCCUCAGGAAUAAGAAACUUUGGUGGGGGUGUAAUGGGACCGUGGCACCCCGAAGCUGGUGGUAUGUUAGAUGAAACUUUUGCAUCCUCUCUCCUGGAUGAGUUCAAGAACAACAAGGCUAGGUGUUUUGAGCUUUCGGAAAUUGCCGGGCAUGUUGUGGAAUUCAGGUAUAUCUCAUUGUAUGCUUUGAAGGUGAUGCAAUUGUAUAUAUGUAUAUUUAUGCUUUCUUCAGAGGGUCAUUGGUUCUUAAAAUUGUCUGAGCAGUGCGGAUCAGUAUGGGAGUCGCUUCAUACAACAGAAACUUGAAACUGCCACAAGUGAGGAGAAGAACAUGGUUUUUGAUGAAAUCACGCCACAAGCACUUUCACUGAUGACUGAUGUGUUUGGCAAUUAUGUCAUUCAGAAGGUAACUUGCUUGCAUAGUAAUUUGCAAGUAUUUUUUUUCUUCGUUUAGUUAAUUUUUUAUGUUUCCUUAAUAAUGUACCUAAAACAAUCAUCAUUAAGUUUCAGCCUUAGUUGCAAUUUUCUCCUUUUUUGAUCUAGUUUUUCGAACAUGGAACUGCAACACAAAUAAGAGAACUGGCUGAUCAACUCAAUGGGCAUGUUUUGAACCUCAGCCUUCAAAUGUAUGGUUGCCGAGUGAUUCAGAAGGUAAAUAUACUUUGCAACGUAAUCAACAUUGGUCUAAUAUAUGUUUCAUUUUGGGACGUGGCUCUUGGGUUUCAUAUCAUUAUCUGCUAGCCUUUUUCAUACACUAAAUACAGCAGAAUGCAUAGGAAUUCAGAUACAUAGCAUAUGGUGAUAAUCCUGAGAGGAAUUUCAUCCUCUCUAAUAUUUAGUGGAUUGGUUUUAUGUAUUUCAUUGAAAAUAUUACAAAACUAUAUCUCAACUGCAGACUAUAUUAUUUACUUGCUAAGCUUCUAAGAUUUAUGAGCUUAGUAGAAAGGGGUGACUUUUAAUAUACUUUUAGGAGGUCUUUGCAGAAGGAAACUAACCAGUUAACUUCUAUGUCAAAGAUAUGUAAUCUAUAAGCAGAGAUAUAACUAUAUCUACCACUUGCAAUAGUUGGAUUAUCAUCACUCAUGUCGAAGGUUCUGAAUACUGUUUUUUGUGAAAAAUGUUCACUAUGCUUAAACUUUUGUUUUGGUUUUAAUUUGUCAAUAGUUUUUCUGCUAUGUGUGUAACCUUGCUGUAUUUAUCCAGGCCAUUGAAGUUGUUGAUCUGGACCAGCAAACUAAAAUGGUUGCAGAACUUGAUGGCCACAUCAUGCGCUGUGUACGAGAUCAGAAUGGAAAUCAUGUUAUUCAGAAAUGUAUUGAAUGCAUCCCUGAAGAUGCAAUUCAGUUUAUCAUUUCUAUAUUUUAUGAUCAAGUGGUGACAUUGUCCACCCAUCCUUAUGGUUGCCGUGUAAUACAGGUAUUUAAGCAAAACUUAUCAUAGCCACCUUUUUCAUCAACUUUGAAAUGCUUGAAACAUGCAAAUAUGUGUAUAAGUGUAUUUGACUGUGUAUAUGUUUAUUUUCAUGUGACAGAGGGUUCUGGAGCAUUGCAGUGACCCAAAAACUCAACAGGUAGUGAUGGACGAAAUUAUGCGGUCUGUCUGCAUGCUGGCUCAAGAUCAGUAUGGAAAUUACGUUGUUCAGGUUUGUAAGCUUUUCAAUAAACAUUCCUUUUUCUUUCAGUUAUUAUUAUUAUUAAUAUAUUUCUAAAUGAUAUUGUAAUCUUCGUAUUUUAAAUUUCAAAUUGGCUAUAUGGAGUUCUUUUAAGAAAGAAAGUAUGAGUAUGCAAAUUCUUGUUCACUCUACUAGAUGCUAGCAUAUUUAGUCAACUUCUUCCAGCUCUUGUUUUUGUGGUGCAUAUGCAAACCACUCGAAUUAGUUUUAUUGCUGCAAAAUAUGUACAGUAAUAUUUACAAAGCAGUAUUCUACUACAAUGAUUCUAUUGACUAAAAAGUACCGUAGUUAGUCUUAUGUUCCUCCCUUUACUUCUUGUGAUUGCCCUUUAAACUAGGUAUCUGGAUUUGUGUUGUCUGCACAUUCUACUUUAGUAUUUCGGUUGUUGGCAAUGUUUUAUUAGAUUUGUUUAUCCAUGGAACUUGCAGUAUUUCCGUAGUUAGUCUUAUGGAGCACCUUUCCUUGUUGAUGGUUUUCUAUUUUGCAGCGUAUGGUUAGUGAUGUAUAUUUGUUUCUCAAAGUAGUGAGUCAUAAGAUUUCUUUGUCCCAAGUCACGUAUGCUUCUGGUUCAAUACUAUACUGGCGUUUAGCAGCUUGAUUGUUCAUCUUUGGCUGCUACGACAUGCAUGCAAGAUAUUACCACUGUAUUGCAUUGUUUUUGUUUCAAUUUGUUUGUCAUAAAGCUGUGGUGCAACCUCGUCUGUAUGCUGACUAGUCUUUGUGAUUCCCUUGGCAGCAUGUGCUGGAGCAUGGGAAGCCUCAUGAACGUACUUGUAUAAUUAAUAAAUUGAUAGGCCAGAUAGUUCAGAUGAGCCAGCAGAAAUUUGCUUCCAAUGUUGUGGAAAAGUGUUUGACUUUUGGUACUCCAGAAGAGCGCCAAUCCCUAGUUGACGAGAUGCUGGGAACCACUGAUGAAAAUGAGCCUCUCCAGGUUCGAUCAGUUUCUCAUUUCACUUAUAUAGUUAAAGAAGCUCAAUCUAAGACUCGUUUUUUAAUCUAGUACACGUAACAUUCCUAUUUCCUGGUGAUCCUUUUCUACCUCUGGAAUUUUCUUUGACUUGGAAUAACAUAUCUACAGACUACAGUAAUUGAGUUAAUCUACCAGUUUCUGAAUUUUUUCGCAUGUACUGUAAAGCAUCUUUUUUGUGCUUCUGUUGUCGUGGUAUAUUCCUGGUUUAUUGUGUCAUUGAACUUGAUUUUGCAACAUUUAUAGAAAUGUAGCGACAUGCAAUUAAUUAAAGGAGUUUUUUUUUCGGGACAAACCAAUCAACUAAAGGAGUUGCUCUGCAUUUUUGUUCUUUUUACGUCAGUGCGAGGCAAUAUUCUACCGGCUCACCAAGUGAAGUUUAUAAAAUUUAUUGGAACCUGUAUCACUCUAGCUGAUGAUUUAUGUAUAGUGCACUAGAGAGAAGUUGGUUUUUUGUUGGGUCACUUGGAUGCUCCUUUUUCACAUGAUGUGCAAGUAUAUCUGUAUGAAGUGUAAAUUAAUGGUGUUUACAAUUUAAGGAACACUAUAAAAGUCAUAGGUGUCCUGGAAACGACUGUAAAGUGUAUUGUUCGUAUAUUAUGACAUUUAGAAUCAAGCUUAUUCAUAAUUUCGUACUAGGAACCCCAGUUUGGGGUUUGCACUGAGUGUCAUGCUUUCCCUUAUCACAAGUCCAUACAGGAGAAAUAAUUAAUCACAUUUACAGAACGAAAAGUGUAUCAUUUGUAUAUUAUGACAUUUAGAAUUAAGCUUAUUCAUUCUAGGAAACCCAGUUUGGAGUUUGCUAAACACCUUAGCACUGAGUGUCUUGCACUCGUGCUUUCCCUUAUCGCCAGUCCAUACAGGAGCAAUAAAAUAAUCCAUCACAUCUACAAACUAAAAAUAAGGAUGGCACUAUUCUCUGAAUCAUAUAUACAUAAAUAACUACAGGUAAUGUUUUUGUUUGAAGUAGAGCUAUAGUAUUGGCAAGCUCUCUCAUAGCUCCUGUUAUAUAAUGACUUUAGUUAUAUAUCUGAGAUCUAAUUAUGUUUGCCAUUUCUGACUUCAGGCAAUGAUGAAAGAUCAGUUUGCAAACUACGUUGUACAGAAAGUGCUGGAGACUUGUGAUGACCAGCAGCUUGAGCUUAUACUUAACCGUAUUAAGGUUCAUCUUAAUGCACUGAAAAAAUAUACAUACGGAAAACAUAUAGUUGCGCGUGUAGAGAAACUCGUUGCUGCUGGAGGUAUUUUAAAUAUCCCUUGAUCCUACUUUUACUUUUUAUACGUUUUUCUAUGAGUUGGUCUUAAUGAGCUGAAAUUAUUCAACUUGUCAUAUAUAACAAAAAUGUAAACUGUGCCUCGUAUCUUGAUCUUGUGUUAAUAAUUGCUUAUAAUCUGUAUAUACAGAAUUGUAUAAUUUUACAAAGUUAUGAAAUUUGAUAUAAUUAUCUCCCACUUAUUUACAAUUUGUCAUGCAUAAUGGUUGUAUAACAAUAUUUUGAUGGCUGAAUUGUGAGUGGUUUAUUGCAUCAUCAAUAGAGUACAAAGAAAUUUUUAGGGGUGAUUAUUAUCCAGAAUUUCUUGUUGUUGGUAAACUUGAGUCGGUUAUGUAUUUUACCCUUUCAUAUCUACUGCAAGACUUUUGACCCGUUUUAAAAUUUAAAAUCUUGCAGAAAGGAGAAUUGGCGUGCUGGCUUCAUAUUCUGCUGCUGCCGCCGCAGCCGCCGCAGCCGCUACCUAGCCUACAAAGAAGCUGUACAGCUAACUUGGUUUAAUAUAAUUGCCUUUCUAGUCUAUGUUUUCACGUUUAGCUGUGUAUUGGCUCAAUUUAUCUGUUUAUUAAGAUAAAUAAGAGCCAGUUGCAAAUAAAAUCUGUUCUUUGUAAAAUGUACAUUGUUAGUUUUGAGGAUAUACCUAGAAUCAGGGUGGCUUAGCUGAGGCUAAGAUGGUGAAACACACCCAAUGCCCCUGCAGAGGAGAUUUAAAAAAGGGUCACUGUACACAGUGGUGUAAGAAAGUGGGAGAAAGAUGUAGAAGUUUGUCAUCGUGACUGUACAAAUGUUGUUGGGUGCAUAGCAUAGCCUUUGAUGUUUAGAAGUGGCCAGAAUUUUUCCUUAAUAUAUGUAUGAAUUUGUUUAAGUUUCCCUUAAUUAUAGAACCUUUUCCGGUUUUCCCUGAAUGCCUUGAUAUUUCUGGCAAUUGCCUGCUUGGUUGAUUUACUGUCUAUGGUUUGUUUCAGAGCUUGUGUUUUAUUUCAAAUUUUGGAACUGAAUUCCAAAUUCCAUCAUUACAAGCAGCCUUAAGUUGUUUUUGUUUGUCGUUUUUAAAGUUGCUCAUGUCGGUGGAAAAGAAAGUUUCUUACAAAAUGAUGGAAAGGGACUAAUUUUAGGCAGCAGACUUGAUAUAAUUCAAAUUCUGGAGUACUACUCUAUGAUAUACAACUGUUUUCCUGAAUCCAAGAUUCAUAAAAGAGAUGCGCGGCAUAAUUUUCACAGAUGACUCAGAUUCAAAAUCGAGUCGACUCGAAUUCUUCGCAAGCGACUCGAACUCGGCUCGAAUAGGGGAUAUUUGUUUAUUUUAACGAUCAAACUCUACUCGUUAUUUAUGAUUUUUGACGAACUCAAGUUUGAACAAUAAGAAUUAUUUGUUUCUUUUAACUAUCAAACUCGACUCGUUUUUACUUCAACACGAUUCAAUUAUGAUUUUAGAAAUAAAUAAAUAAAAUGUCUCCCAAUAUCAUUUAGUAACACCUGAUAAUUUACCGUUUUUAAUUUGGGAAUAAAACGCUAGAUCGUGCAACGUUUGGUAAUUUAACCCCAACAAAACGCUACACGAAGGAGCGUUCUGUUAGGAUUUACCUAACGCUAGACGAUAUAGCGUCACAAAACGCUAGACGAUGUAGCGUUUUAUAUGAUUAUCUAAAACACACGAUGUAGUAUUAAUAACGGAUAUCUUGGAUGAUUUUUUCAGAUACAGAGAGGGAAAAACAUUGGCCCUGUUUGUUUCCGAGAAGCAGAAGCAGCUUCUGACUUUUGCUUCUCUUAAACCGUUUGUGUAAAUAAGUAGAAUCACUUUUAAGAAACUGAGAAUGCUAGCUUUUCUCCCGGAGCUUCUGUUUUUUUUCCAAACACUUUAUUAACUUAUUUACUUUUAACUUUUAAUCUGCCUCUAUAAUUUAAGUAAUGAAUCACUUUUUUUAAGUUUCCCCAAACAGCUCCAUUGUUUAACUAAAGAGGACCUUUAAUCCUUCAUGUAUCAUCGGAUGAAUCUUCACAAAUCAAAAGUAACAUAAACCCUAUACCACAUUUCUAAUUGCUACUGAUCUGCAAUGGCUGCUACCUCCUCGCUGAAGAAAAUGUGGGCUUCUUCAACCCUCCUCGCUAAAACCCAAUUCGCUUCUUCGCUAGCUGCCGCCUCUCCCUCUACACUCUUUACCACCAGCAAUCUCUCCCCCAUUCGCCGCGCCUUUCCUCUCUCAGGUUGUCAUCUACCUCUCUCUCUCUCUCAGUCUCUCUUCCUUCCUCUCCCUCUCUCUGUAUUUUCAUCUUCAGUUUGGUGCUAAUUAUUCCUAUACAUAUAUUUUUCACUCUUCAAGGUAUUGAAAUUACAUUUAGAUUUAAUCUGAUUUGUGCUCUUUUCAUUUGAUUGAUUGAAAAAGAUGUGUUUGAUCUGAUUUCUGCGCCGACCAAGAUCCGCCUUGCAUCACCAUUGUUCAAUGGAAUUGGUUCCAGUGUCAGGCCUGGCUGGGAGGCGGAUCGUAUUCGUAGCUAUAGUACUUUGAAUGGACUCGGCAAUCAGGAUAUGAUUCGACUCGCCAAAGAGGAGGAUGUUAAGGUUCCGGUUAAAAAGAAGAGUUUCACCAAAAUAUGCAUGGUUAUUAAAACUUUUGACAACAAAAAUGCGGAGGAACAAACUUAUCCAGCUCACCAGAAUAAAAUUAGAUUGCCAACAAAACGAUCCCUGUUUACUGUUUUGCGAUCGCCUCAUGUUGAUAAGAAGUCAAGAGAACAAUUUUUUUUGACAACAAAGAAACAGCAUCUGGUCAUACAAGCGGAAAGGCAUGAAUUGGCCAAGAAGUACUUUUGGUUGAAGCGCCACCGUAUAAUGGGAGCUCAAUUUGAAGUCAAGUUUUUUUGCAAGACCCGUUUUCAACUUGCAAGGGAAAGAGAUGGGUUAAGUGAUAGCAGGGAGAGCGAACCUGCUCCAGCCCUAGCUUCUAUUUGAAAUUGAAAGUGUUGGGACUUAGGAGAUAUGACUGUCGGAUGAAUUUGCUGGAGAAGUAGUAUAAACUUGAUGCACUUAAGGCGGGAGUGUUGCAGGUUGCGGUUCCUGAGUUGUAUGCAUGCCGCUUUUAAUUUUUGUUGCUAGUUUAUUGCUGUCUCCCUACAAUUUCUAAUGGUGGUUUGUCAACCUUUGUGUUGUUGUUGGUGUUUACUUUUCAGAGUCGCUUUCCUGUGAACACAAUUUUACUUGGCAAAAAAGAAGAAAAGAGGACUGAUGUUUUCCAUGUUUCUAUUGAUUUUAUAUAUAAUUUUCUAAUGUAGUUGGUCUCGGAGCAGUAGUGAUUGUGAUUUUAAGUUUUAACUGGUGAAAUGCAAUUGAAUCCUUUGAAAUGGUGAAAAUGUUGAUAUAGAUGUUACUAUGUGAGUUUAUUUGUGAGUUCAAAUCUUGUUACUUAUAAUCAAUGUUGUGUAUACUUUAUGGUUCUUUUAUCUUCUCUAGUCGGUUCAUAGAAUUCUGAUGAGAAAAGCAGAUUUUAUAGAUUGUCGAUGGAUGAUACUUGUUUGAUUUUAAGUCCAUGGGCCAUGGCAUAGAAGUGACUUACUAGAAGUAAAAGUGCUCUUUGAUGAGAACAUUCUAUGUCAUUUAUGAAUGUUGUGAAUAUACUGAUUUUGUUGAUGAUACUAACUAGUAUUACAUAUGUUUGAGUUCAUGAUCCUCUUGUCAUCUCACAUUACCUGUUUGAAGAGAUUUGGCGGGCUCCUAUUCCUUGAUUGUAGCCUCUUGGGUGAGUAUCUAUGUAAAUUAUAAUAUUUGAUGACUGAUUUAAUCUUUUUUGAUCUUUCCACCCUUCACUUUUAUGUUAUACACUACUUAAUAUGCCAUUCACUUUACCGUGUAUUCUAUGUAUAUUGAGUAUACUUUAUACUAGCUAUUGCUAUAAAAACAUUAAAUAGAAUAAUUGAAGCAAAUGCUUCCAGAAAUGCAUAAACUACUAUCGAUAAAACUAUCUAAUUCGUUAAUUUUGAGGUCCAAUGUCUGUUCUUACAACAUUUAGGAAGUUUAUAUAUGCGUAUCCAUAACAGCGAACAUGUCAGAAGCUAUUGGUUCUGAAUGUUAAACCAGUGAAACGUCAUCAGUUCAAAUUAUAUGCUUGCAGUUUCCCCCAGCUUUUUACAUAUGAAACUUUAUUAUCUGCAAAUAUAACUGAGAUAUAUGUAUGACUCAAUUUUCGUUUUCUAGUCUAACGUCAGCCACCAUAUCUGUUAUUGCAAUAACUAAAAGAAUAAAAUCAGGAAAAAAAGAAAAAGAAGAAGAGAUAUGCAUGUUAAAAGAGAGUACUACUGCAUAAUUUAUAAAAGUACAGCCGCCGAGGGAGACCUCGAAAUGUAGAGAAAACACACAUUGAAAAUGACUGUACUAGUGCAUUUUCCUACUCUUUUCAAAGUUGUUUAUUCAAACUUUUCCCUGGCUGGCGGGCUGGCGGGCGCUUUAAGCUUCACCACACUUCUAUCUACGAACAUGUUCAUAUCAGAUAUCCCUAUAAAUGUACAUGCGAGGUGUUCUAAGGAAAUACAGAGCAACUUCAACUAAACACACAACAAAAACCAAGAGUGAGGGAACAAUGGGUGCAGGUGGGCGAAUGUCGGAUCCUCCUACAGCCAAAAAAACUGAAACAGAAGCACUUCGACGCGCUCCUCAUGAGAAACCUCCUUUUACCAUUGGUGACCUCAAGAAAGCCAUUCCUGCCCAUUGCUUUGAAAAAUCACUCAUAACUUCUUUUCGUUACCUCAUUCAAGAUCUCCUCAUGGCCUAUGCCCUCUACUUUGUUGCUACUAAUUACAUUGACCAGUAUCUUCCCCAUCCAAUCAACUACUUGGGUUGGGCUGCUUACAUUGCUGUCCAGGGGUGUGUCUUGACGGGAGCUUGGGUUGUAGGCCAUGAAUGUGAUCAUGACGCCUUUAGCGAUUAUGGUUGGGUGAACGACCUUGUUGGCCUUAUUGUCCACUCUUCUCUCAUGGUCCCUUAUUUCUCUUGGAAAAUUAGCCACAGACGUCACCACGCCAACACCCAGUCGCUUGAGAAUGAUGAAGUUUAUGUUCCCAGAUUCAAGUCCAACAUCAGGAACUACUACAAAAUUCUCAACAACCCACCCGGUCGUGUACUUGUCUGGGUUACCACACUUCUCAUAGGUUUCCCUUUAUAUUUGAUGUUUAAUGUUUCUGGACACAAGUAUGAGAGGUGGACUUCCCACUAUGAUCCCCAUAGCCCACUUUACACAGAACGUGAGCGCAAGCAGAUCAUUGUGUCUGAUCUUGCCAUUCUUGCUGUUAUCUAUGGGCUGUACAAUCUAGUAUUAGCCAAAGGAUUUGUCUGGGUUUUCUGUGUUUAUGGAGGUCCAUUGCUCGUUGUCAACGGAUGGUUCACAUUGAUCACCAUCCUCAACCACACUCAUCCCUCUGUGCCUUACUAUGAUUCAACCGAAUUACUCCCUCCGUUUCUUUUUUCUUUUCUUGUUUAUGAUGUCGGUACUGUUCAUAACAUGAGACAAAUUACUAAUUUACAUCUAAUCUAUAAAACUAAAUAUAGUCAUGAGUGAUCUUGUUAGAUUCGUAUUCACGAGUACUUUAAUACGGUGAAAUUUUUAUAUUUAAUGCUACUACGAAAUGAAAGAUAUUAACGAUCAAAAAUGUGUGUUGGCAAACGUGAAAAGUACAAACAGGAAAAGUAUUUAGGGACGGAGGGAGUACUGAAUAUCCAAUCAACUUUUGUCAUCUAAGCAUUAAAGAACGAAUUUUGGAACGUGGUCCCUAGCAUUUCUCGUAUGGAUUUGUUUAAGAUUCCCUUAGAUAUAGAACCUUUUCCCUGAAUUUAUUAACUUUUGAAGUGAUAAAAAUUGGAAUUUGGUCAUCAUUCUCUUCUCUUGAAAUUCGAUUAAUCACUCCCUCUCUUCCUUUCUCUAUCACUGCCUACUCAACAGUUCCGAAAUUCUUGACAGUCAUUCCAAUUAAGUUUUUGCUCAUCUGAGACAUCAUUGCAUUGUCUAUAUCCUUGAAAGUCAUUAACUUCCAUGGAAUACAUCUUCUUCUCUGCUAGGAGAAGUGUGAAAAAUUCUGCUACAACAGCUUUCAUUCUGUGCAAAACCUUAUCUGACAUCCUAUGAUCUGUUACCUGAUAAACACAAUUUUGUUUUUUGUUAUAUUUUUUUAAAAGCACACACAUAUAAAGAAUCAUACCUGAAAAAGUCCCCACUCCUUGCAAGCAAAAUCAAGAAUUCUCCUUUGGCUUUCAUCUCAAUUUGCAAGCUUUGACAAAUUUAUGACAGGGAUUCGUCUGAAACUUGACUGGUCUCGAUGUGCAAAGGUCUGUCCUCGAGUUUCUUUAUGUACCUUUCGGGAACACUCUGAGAAUCAUUUCUUGCUAGUUCUUGAACACUUGGUACUGAUCAAGAACUUCCCAAACCUGACCCUUCACUGUCCUCCACAAUCUUACUUUUAGCCUCUGAACUCAUUUCAAGUUGUAGCUUUGCUUACCAGUGAUGAUACUCUUCUUUGAUAUACCCAUUAAAAGCAGUUCAAAUAUUGCUUUUGUUUGACAUGUCAAGUUUGCAAUUACAAAAUCAGCUAGUCAUCAAAUAUUGUAGUGUACUUCUCAUUUGACGCUAAAAAAACAAAUCAGACAAACAUAUCCGGUAUAUCCAACUUGAAAGCAACAAAAAUUACUACAAAACAUCUGAAAUCAAAUUACAAUAGAUAUUUUUAACAAUCUCAGUGACAUGUUUACAUCACUUAGGAGGACAAAAUGUAAUAACAUACCGGGAAGCCCUACAAGUCUUGAGCGCAGAGGAAUCAUCAAAAGCAUAACUAUAAGCCCUAGGGCACAUGGCUUUGAACAGAUGACCAAAAACACUAGGCUUACAAAUUUUCGGAUUAGCAAACUCCCCUGUACAGCAAUACCUAUCUGAUCUUGCAGCCAUGCAAGCACUCUUACAAGCCACCACUUUCCCAUCCUUCUUCACCACCAAAUUCGAAGGACAGAACACAUUCAAGUCCUUUGCGCAUGACACCAUGUCACAGCCUGCACCACCUUCCGGUCUCAUUGCCACUGGAACAUUAAAUCCAUCAACCAACGACACGUCGUAGUAAUGCAAAGCGGAUUCACAGGUUCCAAAUGUCAUUUCCACCAGAGUUGUUGGUGGAGUUCCUCCUGUUCCAUUGCAAUGCAGAAAACCUCCACAAUCUCCUGACUCACAGUAGCCUCUACCCGAGUUGUUGUCGAAGCAACAGCCUUGUCUAGCCCAUAUUCUCCCUGACCAUCUUUCGGGGACAUCAAUUAGUACUUUCUCGGUGCUGUAGAGGCGGAAACCUCCAUGGCUAGGCGUCUGGUGGCCCGUUGUCGCGAGGAUUCCAGGCCAUAUGGUGUCCUUGCAGUUGUUUAGUAUCUUGAGUUGAAUCCCAUCUGUAAAAACACAUCAAUAAGUAGUUACAUUGCAAGCAAAUCUUAUCAAAUAGCAUUAAAAGAAGCGGAAUAGAGAUUGAACUUACUAGUAAAACAGAGAGUUAUGAAGAAGAAGCAGAGGAAGAAAAGAGUGGAGGGAGACAUUGUUGAGGACAUGAAGAAAGUGCAGACAGAGAUAAUGACUUGGUGGUGGUUUUAUAACUGCUCAAUGCUCGUCACUGCAUGACACCAUGACUCCAGGAGUAGCGGUUUAAGAAAUGGUGCAUGCUAUGCCUUUUUACGAAUAUAACCAUAUAAAAUAUUAAUAAAAUUAUAUGGUAUACUGUGUACACAUUUAAAUGUGGGGUAUUGGAUUCACAUAUUUCAAAGUUAAAUAAAAUAUAAUUUAAUGGUUACAAUUUAAUUUUUUGAUAACAUUUUUUAAACAUGUGACAAUCUGAAUACCCCGUUAACUGAUGUUUGUCUUUUUGACACGCAUAUUAAGGUGUAAAAAAAAUAAUAUCUACACUCAAUAAAAAUAUUCAAUUCUCAUAUCAAAUAAAAGUUUAGUAUCUACUUUUAUUUGAUAUAAAUUUUGCAAAAAAUAAUUAUAUUUGGAUCUGAUUUUUUUAACACCUUAAAAUACAUGUAAACCGCACACGCACACUGAGUUUACUUACAAUUACGGUUGAAAUUUCACAAUGUUUGCUGAAACUUAAAAAGUUAUUUGGCUAAAAGUUCGAAUUUGAUAUCCAUUGGAGGCGAUUUUGCUGUUUUAUUAACACCAGUGUCAAGUACAGGAUCCUCCUGACAUGCUAAAGGGAAGAUCCUCCUGAUACCAAUAGAGCCCUGUUAGGUUUUCAUUAUCCACUAUAACACAUAAGCUUAUGUAUUAAACUCUUCUCCUCGUACUUUGAAAAAACUAGUAACUUAACAUGGUACCAUAACUAAUCCGACCUGCGAUUUUGAGUGAAAUUUGAAAUAUAGAUAUUCAUGAACAAACCCGAUACUUCAUUUACAACUCCACUCACUCUAGUACAUGAUUACAACUUUAAAGUGAGGAACAGAGGACAACAUAUUAACAAAUAAGCAUUAAGUAGAGGUUAACACAAUCCAGCAACUGUUCUCAUCUCAGUUUCUUUAGAGUCUGACAGAAUAUUCCAGUCUCUUACUACAUGAAUGUCAGAAACAAGAGAAAUGGAUCUCAACUGGGAGGGAUGCUACUAGGGGUGUAAUCGAGCCGAGCCGAGUCGAACACUGUCAGGCUUGGCUCGAGCUCGAUUGAAAACUUCGGGGCUCGAGCUCAUUAACAUGUGCUACUACUCGGUGCUUCCUGCUGAGUAGCUGAAAAUUAGAGAUUUAAUCCUUGUAUCUUCACAUGGAGGAAAGGGAAAAAGAAUCCUAAAAAAACUGACAAGACAGAAUAAAGAUACAUGGCAUACCCAAACUCACUAAUAUUUCAAUUACAUGCCCUGGAAAAACUUAAAAAUUAGGCUCCAACAGUACACUGCUGGAGUGCUGGUAACUCCUUAUUUAUGCGGGGGUAUGCUCGAUGCUGAUAUUCAUGACAUCAAAAAAUCAGCAACUAUAUCUGCUUCGAAUAAGUAUACUUCGGAAACAAAUUACACAAAGGAAUUGAGAUCCGAGCAUAUGAAGAACUUGAUGUUCAUCGAAGAACUGCACUAGUAAAACUUACAAAUCAUGAUGAGAAGUGUAAUCAUAAGUCAUAACAAUAUCUUCAUAUUUGAGACCUAAAAAUUCAAUCUUCCAUCACAAAAACUCUUGGUUGUAAAUUAUUUAUAGUAUGUGGUGGAUAUUAAAAGCUACCAAAGACUAAAAGUUAUCAUCAGGUAAGGGACCACAACUUCUCAGCAUCUGGUGUAUGUUUAUGUGGACAUAUGCAGAUCAUUAAAUUUCAAGAAAAUCUGGUAAAUAAGCUAGCUCUAUCUAUCUAAUUAUCUAUGCCUUCCCAUUGCAACACUAACAGAAAAGAAAACUUGAGUACUGUUUAUACAAAAAUUCGGCACUCAGGAGAUUUUAUGCAUGAUAUCUUAGAUUCUCAAGAAGAUUCUAGGAGUUUGCAUUCGAAGGCAAAUGAUGGUAAGAAACUGCAGGCUAAUUAAGAAAUAGCAAGAAGAGAGAAUGGUAGUCUAUGGUGUAUCAUCAUGCGAUUUCAGCAGAUGCUCAAUGCCAUGUUCUUACCAUAGAGUAAGCAGUGUCAAGUGUAGCUUGGAUUACAACAGCAGCAAGGAAAGAGUAGUAGUAAACUCAGUGAGAACCAGCAAUCGUGCAAUGACAAUUGGCUUAGUAGCAACAGCGGCGGCGGCAUCAAUGUUAAUGUCGGUGAUGGGAUCAAACGCUGUAAACAUUCAAAGCCAACUAGAUGAUGAGACUCUGUUAAACAUACCACAAAGUCUCUCUGGGGCGUGUGUGGAGAGUAAAGACUGCAAAAAGGCCAGGAUACAAAAACCCAAGUCGAGAAAAGCAGAGUCCUGCACUAGAAAGUGUGUUGCUACCUGCAUCCGUGGUGGCGAUGGUUCUCCUGGUGAAGGCCCUUUAAAUGUAAGGAAACCAUUAGUGGUUUUCAGGCCAGGAUUCCGGACUCGUCAGUAUUGUUUGGUGGAAUGCUCUGAUAUAUGUAACUUGAUCAAAGACGGAGAAGAUGGUCCCUGACUCAUCUUCAUACAAAAAACUUUCAUUAACAAUCUAUAGAUUUUGUUCCUGUUCUUUAUAGGAGCUGCUCCUUUUAUGUUUUUGGUCCAAUUAAACUGUACAAUGAAACAAUCACUGAGUCAAUUUUACUAAAUUCUUCCAAGCCUCUUUCAAGUUUACUAAUCUGAAUAACACAAUAACCAUUUUCAAUUUCAGUGACUAUGCCAGAAAAUGGAAUUAUAUUGUACAACAAGUUACAUGCUUUUUCAAUAGGGAUAAUAUAUUCAUACGUCCCUAAACUAAUCCACUUUUAUUCGAUAGGUCCCUAAACAAAAGAUUCCUCAAACCGGGUCAUUAAACUUUUCCAAACGCUGGAAUCUAGUCCUUCCGUUAAGUAGAUACUAACAGAGUUAGAAUCUUGCUGAUGUGGUGACACAUCACCCGCUGAAUCAUGCUGACAUGGCGACACAUCACCAGCUGAUUUGUACCUACAUUAAAAAAAGAAAAAUGAAAUUAAAAUGAAACUAAAGUUAAAAGGAUGAUAUAAAAAAACUCCUUCCUCCAUCUCUCCUCUCUCCCUCAUCUCCCUCACUAGCCACUGCCACCGCCUGGCCGGAGAAAUUUCCGGCGACCUCCCUCGUUGCUCUCUCUCUCUCCUGUACGCACACCUCACCUCCUCAAUCUCCUCCCCGCACCAAGCUCACCACCGCCGCCUAUCUCUCUCCCCUUCUGCCGCCGUGAGUCUCCGUCGCCGACGCGAGACUCCGGCCUCCUCCCCACAUUUUCAUGCCCUUCUCCUUUCACACACAACCAAUCAACCACAAUUAAUUUACAAAUUAAAAACCCCAAUUUCCACUUAUAAACCCUAACCCCGUUUUUGUUUUACAGAUUAUGGGGAAACAAGUUUUUGUAUACAUAAGAAAGGUGUGUGUAUUGAUAACCAAAACUUCAGUUCAGUAGAAGGGGGAAAAAAGUUAUCUCUCUCUGUGCUCAUCAACUUAUCUCAGACUCCUUGCCCUUUCAAAAAGUAUGAUGGGAGUGAUGGGAGUGAAGAUUACCAUAACAUUUUCUGUUUUAAGUAAGAAUGAACUUGAGUUGCUGUGCUUUACUAAUUGUACAAUUUCAUUGUUUUAAUGUCUGUAAGAAUCAGCAGGUGAAUUUCGUCAUGUCACCAUGAUUCAGCGGGUGAUGUGUCACCACAUCAGCAAGAUUCUAACUCUGUUAGUAUCUACUUAACGGAAGGACUAGAUUCCAGCAUUUGGAAAAGUUUAAUGACCCGGUUUGAGGAAUCUUUUGUUUAGGGACCUAUCGAAUAAAAGUGAAUUAGUUUAGGGGCGUAUGAAUAUAUUAUCCCUUUUCAAUACAUUAGAUUUUAAUUAUAAGAGGUAGCAAGGAUACAAUUGGACCAAUGUAUGCACGAAGAUAUCUGGCCAAAGAAUUUUAAGGUGUAGGUCAAGUCGACAAUGUUAUAAUGUGAACGACAUUAAUAAUACGAGGCAGUAAGGAUUCGAUUAGGACCAAAGUAUUAUAGAGUUUUUAGUCCUUGACGAUACUAGAUACAAAAUUAAGCAUCACGGCCGGGAGAAAACCUAGUAUUACAGGGAAAUGUAAAAUGUAUAAUGUACUCGAAUUCAAUUUCCGUCUGUCAUCCUCCUGUAUUGGAAGAUAAAAAAGAACCUCUCAAACCUAUUUCAAGUUUACUGAACUGACAAGGAUACAACAAACGUUUUUUCUGCUACUAUACAACAAAUUCAUUUUCAAGAGUUACACAAGAAAACGGAUCAUUUUCUUUUUAUUUUUUUUUUUUUUUUUUUUUUUGCUAAAUAUCAUUUUCAUUUUAUUUCUUGCAUACAAACAAAUUUAAACACAGACAAAAACAAAUAACAAGUAAAAAUUACGAGAGGUUCAUGUUUAAUACUUACCUGAUAAAUCUCUACAUUCAUCCAGACAUCAAUCAAGAUCUUAUUUGGCAAGAAGAAAAAAAACAACCUUGAAGAAUUCAAUCCACCGGACAAUCGAAGAUGACGGUUUAAUUUGCAAGCCUAAGCGGUCCAUCCAGGUCAAAACCGGAUCCGAAAUAGGCAACCGAAACUCCUGGUUCUCCAUCCCUCAAAACCGGCCCAACAAAAAAACUGACCACAUAUAGACCGGAACUUUAGGUAACCCGGAUCCAUUUUGGCUAUUCACCACUUGCCUUAACCGGUUUAUCCGGUAAUCCACCCGAUUCUUCUUCUCAAUUACAAUCCCUAACCCGGGUCUUUUAUAUCUCUAUACAACUACACACACAAAAUUCUCUCCCAAAAUUCACAUACAAGAAAACCCACAAAAAUCAAUCGAAGCCCAGGUAAUAUUUUUACCCCAUGAUUGUAAAGUUACCAUCUUUGUUGCUGUUAAAGUUAAAUUCUUGAAAUUCAUGUUACUUUUCUUGAUUCUUGAUAGAGAUUGCAUUAUUAAUUCAAGAAACAGUGUGGAUUGUUGUAUUUGGAUGUGAUUUUUGUUGGUUUUGUGUGUUUUGUGAAAAAGAUUGUAAGUUUGUUAGAAAUGUCAUCUAGUAUGGAACUUGUGCCAGUGACUUCACAAAAACAUGACCCAGCAUGGAAGCAUUGCCAGAUGUUUAAGAAUGGGGAUAGGGUUCAGCUUAAGUGUGUGUAUUGUACUAAAAUGUUUAAGGGUGGUGGGAUUCAUAGGAUUAAGGAACAUCUUGCGGGGCAUAAGGGUAAUGCCUCGACGUGCCUUAGAGUCCCGCCUGAUGUUCAGCAGAUUAUGGAAGAGAGUUUGAGAGGUGUUGUGGCGAAAAAGAGGAAGAAGCAGAAGCUUGCGGAGGUUAUUUCGGGGUUUGAUCCUUCUACUAGUGAGGUUGAUGGUUUGUCGGGUCAGUGUGAUUUGAGUGGUGCUGUGAGUUUGAUCCCGAAUGUGGAUGUGCUUGAUCCGAAUUCAGGUGUUUUAGAGGAUGGUCCGAGGAAGAGAGGUAGGAAGAAGAGGGGAGCGAAGAAAGGUGCUGCUAAUACAGGUUUGGAUGUCAUUCCGUUGGAUGUUGUGGGAGGUGGUUCGAAGAGGGUGAAUGAUCAGGUUCAUUUGGCGAUAGGAAGGUUUUUUUAUGAUGUUGGUGUGCCUUUAGAUGCAGUGAACUCCGUAUAUUUUCAACCGAUGCUUGAUGCGAUUGCUUCACAAGGAGCAGUGUCUGUUGCUCCGAAUUAUCAUGAUCUUAGAAGUGGGAUUCUGAAGAAUUCAGUUCAAGAAGUAAGAAAUGAUAUUAAUCUAUGCAUGAGUCAUUGGGGACAUAGUGGAUGCUCUGUUUUAGUUGAUGAGUAUGUUUCAGAAAAGGGUAAAACAUUGAUAAACUUUAUGGUGUAUUGUUCCGAGGGGACAAUAUUUUUGAGGUUUGUUGACGUGACUGACAUAAUGAAUUCAGAAGAUGCUCUCUUUGAAUUGCUCAAGGAGGUGGUUGAGGAAGUUGGAGUGAGAAAUGUCUUGCAAGUGAUUACUAAUACUGAAGAUCGUUAUGUUGUUACAGGAAAAAGGCUAAGUGAUACCUUUCCUACUGUUUUCUGGACUCCUUGUGCAGCUCGCUGCAUAGACCUGAUGCUUGAGGAUUUUGGAAAAGUCAAGUGGAUCAUUUCAAUACUUGAAAAAUCUAAAUAUAUAUCAAGAUUUAUCUACAAUCAUAGUGUAGUUUUAAAUAUGAUGCGGAGGUAUACAUAUGGAGUUGAUCUAGUUGAACUUGGGGUUAGUAGCUCUGCAACAGACUUUGCAACUCUGAAGAGACUAGUGAAUAUCAAGCCCAACUUGCAAUCCAUGGUAACGUCAGAGGAGUGGAUGGAAUGCCCAUAUUCAAAAAAAACCGAGGGAAUAACCAUGUUGGACUAUAUCAGUAAUCAGUCAUUUUGGUCAACAUGUUCAUUUGUCACCCGUCUUACAGAUCCAUUAUUGCGGCUUUUGAGAAUAGUAAGUAGUGAGAAGAGACCUGCAAUGGGGUAUGUUAAUGCUGGAAUAUAUCGAGCAAAAGAAAGCAUUAGAAAGGAAUUUGAGGAUAAGAAGGAAUAUGAAGUUUAUUGGAAUAUUAUAGAUGGCAGGUGGGAACAUCUUCAGCAUCAUCCACUUCAUGCUGCAGGUUUUUAUCUGAACCCCAAGUUCUUCUACGGUACUGAAGGAUCUAUACAUCGCCACAUUCCAUCCUCAGUGUUUGAUUGUGUAGAGAAGAUGUUUCCUGAUCCAAAAAUCCAAGAUAAAAUAAUGAAAGAAACAACAUCAUACCAUAAUGCUGCUGGAGAUUUUGGCCGGAAUAUGGCAAUGAGAGCUAGAGAAACAUUACUUCCUGGUAAUUGUAGUGUUCAGUGUUAUUUUGCUCUUAUCUAUAUUUUAUGCACUGACCUUGCUUUUUUAUUUUGUCACUACUCCCUCUCUCUGCUCCACAAGAGUGAUCACUUAGAGCUCAGAAGUUAAUCUACGAGAUCUUUAAAAUUCGGAAGUAAUAUGUUUUUUGCACAAUCACCACACAACUAUGGAGUAGGUUAGAAGUAUUGCAAGUUGCAAGAAGCAUUAGUCUAAAUCUUUGUAGGAAUCAUUAUGUACAUUCAUGUAUUAGGAUUUUUUAACUUAAAGGGUUGAAGAAAACGGUAUUAGGUACCUUUAAGGAAGAACAUCACACAAAAAAGGCCAAAGUUAUCUAGUGUUUGAAGGAAGCGGCAUCGUAUGCUGACCAGUUUGCCCGCGGAUAUGCUAUAUAGUACGAUCUGAGGUUGCUUGGCAUGAACAUCUUUUACUUCACAGCUCGGUCUAUUAAUAAGUACUUUGUAAGCAAGAAAUCACAUGAAUGGGAUUUUCCAUUUGACCAGCAAGCUCAUUGGUCUUUAUUUGUGAUUAUAUCAGUGUUUUAAAUAGUUACUUUUCUCCAGUAUAGUUCAAUUUGUGAUUUAUAAUAUUAUGUAGGUAGCGAGCUUUUUCUGGCUGUCUCGUAGGUUUUCUGUAUUUUUAGUCAUGCUUUUCAGAAACUUUUGGAUCUUACUUGCUUCCUUCAUGUGGCGACUGUUUUGAAGUUUUUUGUUAGAUCUUGACACAGAAGUCAUUUCUUCAUCAUCUGCUAAUUGUUAUAAGUUCUGUUUGCUUUAGCUGAGUGGUGGUCAACUUAUGGAGGUGCUUGUCCAAAUUUGUCGCGUUUGGCUCUCCGUGUCCUCAGUCAAACUUGCAGUUUGAUGAGUUGUAAGCCAAACAGACAUUACUUGGAACAGAUAGACAAAACAAAGAACUGCUUAGAGCAUCAGAGGCUUACUGACCUUGUAUUUGUGCAGUACAAUUUGCGGCUGAGGCAAAUGUAAGUAAAUGGAAGUUUGUAUAUGUUUUCAAAGGUUCACUUGUUUGUUAAAAGCCUAUGUAUAAUUACUUUACCUUGCAGGGCUGUGAAGAAUAGAGAACAUGAUGCUGCAGAUCCUAUUUCAUGUGAUAUCAUUAAUACAAGCGAGGAUUGGGUUACAGAGAAUGAAGUAGGUAUGGAGGACACUGGCAGCGCGGAUUGGAUGAAUGUUGUCCCGCCUUUAGGCCACAUGACACUCUUAGGAUCAGAAAUUGAGGAUAUAGAGGCCUUAGGUGCAGGUAAUCACCAUAGUUGCGUUUUAUAAAUCUAAAACUAUUCCAAAAUACAAUGAUCUUCUCUAACUUGAUAUAUCCUCAUGCAGCUGGAUUUGAUGAUUAUGAAGAGGUAUUUAAUGGAGUUAAAGAUAGUGAAGGCGAAAAUGGUGAAGACAGGGAAGAAGACAAUACAGUGUAGUCAAUAUAUUUGUUAUGUUCCGAUUGGCGGAAAAAUUUUAGAGGAUCUGUUUAAAGAGGUAGUUUAUCGUUAAAGGUCAAGCAGCUUAAACUAGUGAAGACUAGCUGUGAUAUUGCUCAAACUUCUUGUUACUUGCAAAUUAGUGUAGCAAGUUGAGAUUGAUGCACAAGUACAUUAAAGCAAGAUGAUUUCUUUUCAAAAUGAGAAGUGAAGCAUUAUAUUUGAACCAGCAUUAGUCAUCUGCUAAGUAUCACCCAAUAAUUUACUCUGAUUUUUUCAGUACUGUAUUGUUCUGUUGAAUAUGAAUGUGAGCAGAAAAAUGAUAAUAUAGUGUCAGGAACCUGUCUUAAUAUUUAUAAAGAAAACUAAACAUCAGCCCGUCUAGCUCAGUUGGUAGAGCGCAAGGCUCUUAACCUUGUGGUCGUGGGUUCGAGCCCCACGGUGGGCGACCAAUUUUUUCUUUUUUUUUGAUUUAGAGUAUGCACUUUGUCGCUGAGUAUCUUAUAGAAGAGCCUGUUGGUGUGUACGUUCAGGAUUUUGUUUUUGCAAAUCCAUCUACCUCCCCUAAAUCUGGGGUUCUCUAGGCCAAACUAUCUUUAGCAAAAUGGGCCUCGUUUCUUGUUUGGUUGCUCUAACAAAAUAAGCUGAGCGGACAUGCAUGCUCUCAAUGUAUCAAGUGACCGGUUCUUCUAAAACCUCGAGAUAUUAGGACGGCUUAGCAGGAUUUUAUUGCAUUCUAACCCAACGAAAUUUCUCUUUGGGAAUAUGAUCUCCUUUCAAAGCAAAAUAUAAGGGUAUUUAAUUAAUACAGCCUAUUAAUAAGAAUAGAGUUAGAUGCAAAACUUGACAAAUAGAUCCAAAGAUGAAUUAUAAACCAUAAUUAGAGAGGCCUAAUAUAACAGAUUAGUUUAAAAUAAUUGUAGUUUGGUCCAGGGACUACCUCUAGAAAAAGGGGCCAUGAGCUAACUAGCAUCCCUACCACAGCACACCGAAGAAGACAUGCAUUACCAAUACAACGAUAGAGAAAUCCAUCUCCAUCGUUUAACUCAAAAGUGAAAGACUGCUGCUCCACCAUCCAAUGACUCUGUUCUUUUCUCAUGCAUGCACUUUACUCGAAAUCCAAAUUUUCUAACUGCAGAAAGACGGAAAGCAAGAAUUUCUGAUAAUGAAAUUGUAGUUCACAGACAUAAAUCUAGAGCAUUGGAGCAGUAAAAGAACAGUAGUUCAAGAACUUACAACUGUAGUUAUCUGUAAGGACGGCCUGAGAUUCUACCUCGCUGAUGAGCAAACCAGAUUAAGCAGUUUCGGGGGUUUUGUUUUGUGAGGCCGACAACAGAGGGCCCUGUUGUUGACACUUGACAGCCCUCCUAUCCACCACCUACACUCGAUUUAAUAAGAAACAAACAAUCGUUAAGAACCAGUCCAUCUAAAACUUUAAAGUGUUAGAGGAAUGCCCCAAAUGGAUCUUAUACUAUAUUUCAACACUCCCCUCACUCAGGCGCCAGCCAAACCAGAGCUCUGAUACCAUAUUGAUAACCAGUCUAUCUAAAACUCAAGGUGUUAGAGAAAUGUCCCAAAUGGAUCUUAUGCUAUAUUUCAACAGUAUUCAUACAAAAUAAUAAAUCGGCAUGAGUCAUUCUCUCUACAUCUAUUAACUAUCAUUCUCUCUACAUCUAUUAACUAUUCCAGAUGAGUAAUGUUAGCCAUCACUGCCUUAUUUCUAGGACCCAACUUGUAAAUUACAGUACAUUAUCUAUCAAGAUACCAUAACUAAAAGUACUCAAAAUGGAACAAACCUUUUUGAGGUACAAAUUAGGAACGUUAACCGAAUUUCAGAAUACAAAUGUUUGCCAUAAAGCAGACCUAAAAGAGAUUUACUUUAGCUAAAGUGAGAAUGUCUCUUGGCUACAGCAAAACCUACUGACCCUUCAAGUGUAUAUAAAAGAGUGAACUGAGUCGAAAGCUAAUCAGAAAACAAAGACAAGAUCACAAGAUAGUAUUGGUAGAAAGCUAUUGAGGCAAACAAAUAAAAGGUUAAAACAAUGACAGGUCCUGGUUCUUCGUGUGGAGCAUGCAAGUUCCUAAGGCGAAAGUGUACAAGUGAAUGCGUUUUUGCUCCUUACUUCUCUUAUGAUCAGUCAGCUAACCACUUUGCAAAAGUUCACAGGGUGUUUGGAGCUAGCAAAGUUUCCAAGUUAUUGCUACACCUUCCGGUGCACAGAAGAAGUGAUGCAGCCGCCACCAUAGCUUAUGAAGCACUUGCUCGGAUGCAUGAUCCUGUAUAUGGUUGUGUCUCUCAUGUCUUCGCUCUACAACAGCAGGUUUUGUGUUGUCACUCGUCGUAAAAUGCCUAAUUUGUUAUUCUUGAAUUACAUUACCAAAUAAUGAAUUCUAAUUCACCUACACUGCAGGUAGCAUGCCUGCAACAUGAGAUCGACAUUCUUAAUAAUCAAAUGGCCAAUCAAGCAUUUCAAGCACGCAAUAAUGGAGCAUUUGGAGCAACUAAUAACCCAAGUGUUGGAUUCCAGUUUGAUUCACAGAACAACGAGAACAUGACUAAUUGUGCAACUCAAAGUCAGAUGCUUUUAAACGGAGGGGUCACAGCAGAUAACCAAGAAUUCCAUUGCCAGAUAAAUACCACUCUUCCUACUCUAUAUGGCUGUGAGGAACACAUGUACAAUGUUCCUUCUGAUAUAGACCUUCCUGAGUCAGUCUCUGGAGGGAUGAAUCAAGAGAUUUAUGUGCCAUUUCUAUGGACGGGCAGCAGUUGCAGCAGCUAAAGCUAAAGAAUAAAAUGUAAAGUUUAGCGGUGAAGGUUACAAGCAAAAAACCACAUAAGCAGCAAAACCUUGAAUCCCUGCAUAUGAAAACAAGCCUCAUGAUCAUCGAUACUUGCAGGCUAAGAAUUAAGAUUCAUGAACAAUGUACUUUUCAUCCAACACCAUCAAUGUAACACCCCAACCCCCCACCACCAAAAAAAAAAAAAACAGUACACGCGCAGCUAAGUAAAUCUUGUUCUAUUAAGUCUCUUAAGCCUCAAAACUAAAGGCGAAAAUUUGUUCUGAUUUAUUUGACUUCAACAAUGAACAACUAAAAUUGAUUCAACCAUAAACAAUGAAUCAGAUAGAUACUCAUUGUCAGGGACGGAACCAGUAAUUUGGGUUGGAGUGGGCUUGACAAGUGAAUAACGAAGAAAAAUCUACUUUCAUUCAUGCUAGGAAUGAAAAAAAAAAUGAGAACUGCACCCAUUGAAUCUACUUGAUUAUAUUGAUUUUGGACUUAGUUGAUAGUGGGCUUGGACUUACUUGAUUAUAUAUAACUACUAAACUUUUUUUAGAAAAACUUCCUUGGGCUUAAGCCCAGGGAAGCCCUUCUGUACAUCCGUCUCUGCUCAUUGUUCCUCCCAAAUUCAGACGACAUUUGCAACAAACUAUAACAAGAUCCAUAAUAUCCAAAAUGGCAAGCAUGAUGUCCAUCUUGACAUGUCAAAAGUUAUUCUCAAAAAUUCGUUAAUAGCCUGGUGAAAGGUCAUGGGUAAUUCCGAACUUCCGAUCAUGGAUUUCAUACAGAUCGCCAUUAAAAAAUAUUGCAUGACAAACAGAAACGAUUGAAAAGGUUAGCAUUUGAUUUAUUAACCAAUACAGUGCUAUAGGUUCAUCUUCCAACGUCGUGUUCCUCUCCACAGGCCAAUUGAUCUUUUUAAAAUGAUGAAAGAAAUUGUAAAUUUUUCAAGCUGCAUCCGUCUGUAAAAUACCAUCUUCUUUCCAAAGAAUACGUAUGGUGCAUACAGUCACAGUUGUUCUAGUAGUUCUGUUUGAAAUUAUCCGGCAAGCUUCCUUCUUGCACCAUCUUACAUAAUAUGUUACAUUAACUUAUCAAUAUUUACAACAAAAAUCAAGACUAAGAUAUUCAAAUACAAGGAGUAUUGAAAUAAGAGUUAUUUGCAAAUUACACCCCUGCACUUGAGCCCAAACACACUCUAGUAUACAUACUUUUAAAAAUUGCAUUUCGCAUCCUCUUACUAGUGCAAUUUGCAAUUAACUCUUAAAAUAGCCAGGGGAUGCGAAAUAGUAACGGACCCAAGUGUAGGAGUGCAAUUUGCAAUCUAACUCUUCAAAAAAAAAUGUGCGCCCAGACUUGAAAAAAGUCAUAAUAUUUAAUAUUUUUAAUUUUUAAAAAAUUAACAAAAGAGGCAUUUAAAUUGAGACACGUGGAGCGAGAAACAUACAUUAAAGAUCAUCGAUGUGGUUUGAAAGGAUGCCGCGACGGUAUUCCAGCAAGGAUGAUACUAACAAUGUUUUGAACUGCUAGAUGAUUCACGUCUCAACUAGAUCUACACCCUUAUGUGUGGCGGUGCACAAACGUAGUAAUCCGUUUGGAUAAACUUAAAAGAAGUGACUUCUUGGUUA
rnacentral:lncRNA from 1 species